rnacentral:lncRNA from 1 species
UACAAAGAAGUUCUAAAAGACUACAAGAAAGAGUUUCCACUAAAGAAAAACAAUGAAACCAUUUCUACUAAAGACAAACAAUGAAACCACAGAUGCUUUGUGAAAUAUGUACCCGCACAAUCCAACAAACUUUAGAAAUUCACAAACACUACCUAGAAUUUUUGCUGACCAGCAAAAAAUUUAUGCAAUUUAAUUCUUAUUGUUAUUAUUAUUUUCAAUGUGAACAAAUAUGAUUGAAUUAUGAAGUAUUUGGCCAGAAGAGGAUCUUGCCUAAUUAUAGUCAUUAAACAACCAUUUAUACCAUAGCCUCUAGACUUUAAAAAGUUUAUAAAACUCAAGGGCUUCCACCCAAUUUCUAGAUAUCUCCAUAACAUUCUUCUGACUAUUAGAAAGCAAUUACCACUUUAAUUUUUCAUUUCAUGAGUGUUCAAUUCAGAAAAAGACCAGGAUCGAACUUGCGAUCAUGCAGUCGAAAAUCCACCUGUGCAUGAAACUAUUGCCUCACGAUUGCAAACUCAAGUUGGAGUCCAGUAACAACUCUAGGUUUGCUGAUGUGCUCCAUUUGAAAUAAAGGAACUAAAGAAUACUUUAUAAAGAUUAAUUACCUUCAUAUUUUAGGUUGGGGUUAAGGCAAAAUGUGAUAGAUUGAGAGGAAGAAAAUAUAUCUUGUUCAGGAAGCCAAUAUUUUGGAGUUCACCUUUCCAUUCGAGUCCACUCUGCUAUAGCAAAAUCAGAGUCACAACUAUGCCUCUUUAAGCUAUCCUUUAAUUGGAUGAAUUGCAGAUUUGGUUGCUGAGAAAGUGGAUAAGAAAGAAAAAUGCAUACUGUAGCUUGAGAUUAAGAGUUUGUUUUCUAAAAUGAGAGAAAGGGAAAGAGAAAAAAUGCAUAUUGUAGCUUGAGAUUAAGGGUUUGUUUUCUAAAAUGAGAGAAAGGGGAAGAGAAAUGUUCGACAACUUUGAGAUGACAAAUUUUUAGAUUUGGAAAAUUUGAGAUGAGUCUCAGGUUUUUUUUUUUUUUUUUUUGUCUUUGUCUUUGUUUUUUUUUUUUUUUUUUGUUUUUUUCCCAAAAACAACCUGUUAAUGUGGUUGUUGACAUAGAAGUGGGUGAGGGCAAAAUGGGCAUAGAAAAAAGAGUCAACACAAAGUGCACAAAACCCAUAUUAUUUUCCACAUUAAUGACUGAUUCUCAUAUUUCUUGUUCUUGGGAUUUGAAAACCAUAUUAUUUGCAAAUGGACCUCCCAAAGCACAGGUUUCCCUUAGUUUUAUGUCUCCAUCUACAUUUUACAUAUAAAUAGAUUAUUUUAUAAAAUUUGUUUUGUAGAUAUAUUAGUUAAUAAUUAUAUAAUUAAUGAUAUAGAAAACAUAUAAAAAUCAUAUUUAAAAAAGAUAAUUACAUAUUCCUCAACAAUCCAUCCCAAGAAUUCGAGGUUGAGUUGAAAACAUGUAGAGUCUUUGAUGUUAUUAUAAUCAUAUCCAACACAUAUGAUUAUUGUUUAUGAGAUAUUAUUAGAAAGUUUGUCUUAAAAUAAUUGAUUUAUUACCCACCUUUAGCAAAUGCCCAUUUUUGCGUCUUUCAAAAUUUUCAUUUUUUUUUUGUUUAAAAGAAGUAUUGUAAAGAAUGAUGAAAUAAGAAAUUUGUUGAGAAAGUGUGAGUAAAUAAUUUUACAUAAAAAGAGAUUUAAUACUUGAUAAAUAAAAUAAUAAAAUCAUGAUUUCUAGUUGUAUAGGGCCGGGUGGAUGGAGUGGCUAAGAUGUAAUUCUUGAAAUAGAGGAGACAACAUCAAUGUAUAAAAGUUUAACAGAGAAGGAAAGUGUGUUUGAAUGACUUUAUUUUCUUCAUUUAAAGUUUUGACGAUGAGUGUUUAUACAAGAUAAAUUUUCAAAUGAUAGGACUCCUAUUUACAUGGAGUUUGUGAUAUACUAUGAUUAUACAAAUUUAAAAUUCAAACAGAUUCAUGAGUUGAUAGGAGUCUGCUCAAUACGCCCCUUCAAAAUGGUGGGAGAUAGCACACCAAUCUUGACUCGAAGGGCCUAAACUCGUGCAGAAGAUGAGGGCUUUGUUAGAGCAUCGACAAGUUGAUCCGUGGUUGACAUAUGGGACACCUUGAGCUCACCUGAUUAAACCUUGUUUCAAACAAAAUGAAAAUCAAUCGCCGAUGUGUUUCAUGGAGAGUGAAACAUGGGAUUUGCACAAAGAUAUGUUGCACCCACGUUAUCACAAGAGAUAGGAGGUGGUGAUAAAUUUGAAACACUAAGUUUUGAGAGAAGAGAAUUAACCCAAAGAACCUUUGAGGCUGUAGAGGCCACGACGUGAUAUUUCGCUUCAGUGGAAGAGCGUGCUAUGAACUUUUGUUUCCUCGAUGACCAAUACACAAGAUUGUGACCAAGAAAAACAAUGGGAGCAUUGGUGGAGGAUCUGACAUAAGGAUUCCUUGCCCAUUCAACAUUCGAAUAUGCAUGUAGAUUGAUGGGCGAUUUCUUAUGCAAGAACAGACCAUGCACCAUUGUGCCGACUAAGUAUCUAAGCAAUCUUUUAACACAAGACCAAUGUGUUGAUGUUGGAUGGUGCAUAAAUUGAGAUAAUUUAUUCAUCAAGAAGGUGAUGUCAGGGCUAGUAAGAGAGAAGUAUUGAAGGCUUCCAACAAUUGACAUAUAUUUAGUGGGACCAGGAAAAGAGGUGUCAUCACACAGAUUUGGAACAUUGUUGAGGAACAUCAAUGAUUGAACUGGUUUGGUAGCCACCAUUUGUGUUUUCUUAAGAAGCUCUCGAAUGUACUUGAGAUAAAAAUAAUCCUUUGGAAGUAUGUAUCAUUUCAACACCAAGAAUAAAAGAUGAAGUCCUGAGAUCCUUAAUGGAGAAUUUGACUGCUAAUUGAGAGAUCACGCGAGCACGAAAAACAUUAUUGUUACUUGUUAAAAUAAGAUCAUCAAUAUAAAUAAGUAGGUAAACAAUGAGACCACUCUUUUUAAAAAUGAAGAGGGAUGUCUCGGUUUAGGAGUUGACGAAGGCUAUUGAGAGGAGAAAUUGGCAAAGUUCAUGAUACCAUGAUCGUGGAGCUUGUUUAAAGCCAUAAAAAGCCUUACAAAGUUGGCAAAUGUGAUGAUGUGUGUAUUCGUGAACCCAGGAGGUUGAAUCAUGUAAACAUCUUCAUGAAGUGUCCUAUGCUAGAAUGCAUUAUUAAUGUCCAAUUCAUGAGUUGAUAGGAGUCUGCUCAAUACAAUGUGGGAGUGUGAUUUCAAAAUUAGGGUAAUUUCGAAAUGGAUUUUGUAUUCACAAGUUGAAUUUCAAAAUUAUUUUGAAAUGGUCUUUUAACUUUAAGCAGUUGUGUUCAAAAGGUCAUAACUUCUUCGUUUCAAUUUUGAUUUACACAUUGUUUAAAACAUUGGACUCUUUACUUCCCGAGCUUCAAAACGAUAUAUAGUAUGCUCAAAAAUGACAUCAGGAUUGGUUCAAAUUUCAUCUUGAUAUUAGAGUACAUGUUGUGAUUAGAUUUUGAGUUCCAAAUUUCCAUGUAAACUUGAUUGCAUUUGCUUCAAACCUCCUUCAUUAUGGUUGCUUGCCCUCUAUCUCACUUUGCAACAUUUGUUACUAGUAUUUUAUGUCCAUGACUUACUCAUUUCAACCUUUCUUGGAUUCUUCAUGGUUCACAAAUUAUGGAUUCUUCAUGGUUCACAAAUUGAGUCUUUCAAUUAUGCAUGUUUAACUCCUAUUUCCUUGGUUGAUAAUGACUUUUACACUUAUCAUUUUCUUUUAUUCUUUAAACCUGAAUUUAGACUUACAAAAAAAAGUUAGAUCCAUAACUAGGGUCUUAGCAUCAAUUUGAGUUAAGUUGGAUGAUUUGAAAAUUUUAUAUUACAUAAAUCAUAUCAUACAUGUGCCAUUGGAGUGCACAUUUUGGCUCUAAUCAUGUUCCAACCCAUUGUUUUACUCUUGCAUGAAGUAUGUGGCCAUUGAUUUUAAUUUUAUUUGCGAUUAGGUUCAAAAUGGUGCUUUUGUGUUGCUCAUGUGUCAUCAGAAGAUCAACUAAUGGAUUCUCUAACAAAACUACUACAUCAUAGUCAUUUUUUUUUUUCUUAAGACCAAGAUUGAGAUCUCCAAUCGGAGCCAACUCCAUCUUGGGGGCAUGUUAGUGAAAGAUAAAAUUUAUCUUUAAUUUAAAUAUUAAUAUUUAUCAGUUAUUAGUUUUAAUUAGAGUAAAAGAUAGAGUUUAAAUUGGAGUAGGAGAUAAACUUGUGUUUGAACUAGAAUAGAAGAUAAAGUAUAAAGAUUUAUGUUUGAAUUAGAAUAAAAUAUAAAGUUUGAAUUAGAGUAGAAGAUAAACUUGUUCUUUAUUUGUAUAUAAAUAUUCAUCAAUUCUUGAGAAGAAGAUUAUUUCAUAGUUUUUCUAUCUUCUUUUUUCUUCAUACAUAUCUGCAAGAAAUUGAAGAUUUCAAGUAAAAUAUUUUCUGUUUUAAAUAGUGAAAAAAGCUAGAAAUUCACUUUGUUAUCUCUUGGGGUAAAUUGACAAGGUUUAACGUUAAGAAGGUGAAUUAUUUUUUCAGAAAAACUGAAGUAGCUAGGAUAUCUGGCCAGUUGUGAUCGAUAAAAAAGUUGUAAAAUCUCUCAUAUACUAAACAGGUUUUGGAUGUUGGUAUGGUAAAUCCAUCUGCAGUCAUUCGUCAUCUCAUCUAGUGAGAUGUUUGGGAGGUGGUGACCGCCGGAUUGGGUUUCAUUUGGUUAAAUCUGUCAGUGGGUUGGCUACUACCCGAGCCUCUUGCUUUGGGGGAGGUGGGUUCUAGAUAUAAUGUUCAAACCAUUUUAGUUAUCAUAUGCAUGACAUGUAAGCAUAAUCUCUUUAUCACUUCUUCAAUGGGAGUUCAUGGUUAGGAAUUGACUUCUUUUCUUCUGGGAUGCUUGGCAUGUAAUGGACAAAGUUACUUUUAUAUCGAUCGAAUUUCUAGUAUUAUAGUGAAGACUUACCCUUUUGACAUUUUAUAUCGAAUUAUAGAAGAUGAAAGGGACAUACAUGCAAUCGACUGACGCUUUAGUGAAUAUGCUGAAAAUAUGCUGAUGCUGUGGAGAUCGUAUGAGGACAGAGGAAAAAGAUAGAAAUGGAUAUAUAAUUAGACCUAGGUUUUUAUUAAAUGAGAUGGGGAACAUAGAGUGAGGGAAAAUCAAAAUUUUUGGCUGCAGUUCACAUUGGUGAUAUUUUGGAUUGACAAAGACUAACGACUUUUCUAUUUUUCUUUUCGGCCUGACUGGAUAGUUGGACAUGGACAAUACAGAAUCCACAGAAGGAUUGUUGGGACCGCUGAAAAUUAGCUAGAAGAAGCUGAGGAAGUAGUCUACGUAGUCAAAUACCAAACACAAAGAAAGAAAGAAAUGGAUAUCAUGGAUGCCUAGAGUUAUACUCCUAAUACCGUCACAGGUAUUUUUCUUUCCUCCUUUUUUUUUCUACGAUAAUUAGAGCAUUUCUCCUCCUCCUCCUCCUCCUCCCCCCACCCCACCACCAAAAAAUAAAAAAAUAAAUUAUUGCAAGUAACACUUCAAAUAUUAAUUUAUACAUUCUAAAGUAUAUAUUCAUGAAAUAACUUGAGUAUCAUACAUUAGUUCUCAAAAAAAAAAAAAAAAAAAAAAAAAAAUUACUGGAAGAGAAAAGUUUAAGAAAACAUAAAAAUAUUCAACUACUAUUUUAAAGAGAAAAUUUAAUUUUUACACUAUAAAUUUGAAGAGAACUUUUACAUGCAUCUUAUAUAAACUACCAUUUUUUGCUAAAAGGCUUAAAUUUGUCAAAAAUACCCCUUAGGUGCUUAACGUUCUGGUCAUAAUAUAAUUGGCAUCUUUUCUCAAACAUAAGGCCUGUGUGUGGGAACAAGAUUUAAUGUUAAUGAGCUUCGCCACCGACAUUUAGUUCCAGAAAUCAUUAUUUUAAUAGAGUGGGCUCAAUUUACAACUUUAAUUAAACUCUAACCAACUGCAUUGUGAAAUGAAUAUGUUUCUUUCGUGGUGAAUCCAAUGAGUUGGGAGUCAAACUUUGCUUCAUUGUGUAUAGAUGAAAUGUUAAGACUCCAUGUAACCUCAAACAUUUCCGCAAUNNNNNNNNNNNNNNNNNNNNNNNNNNNNNNNNNNNNNNNNNNNNNNNNNNNNNNNNNNNNNNNNNNNNNNNNNNNNNNNNNNNNNNNNNNNNNNNNNNNNUUCUUUCGUGGUGAAUCCAAUGAGUUGGAGUCAAACUUGCUUCAUUGUGUAUAGAUGAAAUGUUAAGACUCCAUGUAACUCAAACAUUUCCGCAAUGAGCGGGAGUUCUAAAUUUAAUAAUUGAAAUUGUCAGUGGAACCAGUGGACAAGAGUUGGUUUGUGGUUGACAAACUUAUCCGUUUGAUCUUUACUUGAACAGUUCCAGUGUGUGGAUGGGUACUGAUGAAGUGUGCGCAUUUAUUUUGAGAAGCCUGCUUGUUCGCAUAGAUUUUAACGACAUGAACAUUGUGGUAAGGUUAGAGAGUAAUGCGAAUGUAGGAGCUUAUAUUAGAAAUGACACAAACACGUAAAUAGAAGUAAUCUAUAUAUGAUAUUACUCAUGGACUACAAGCAAAGAAGUACAAUACAUGGAGUAAGUGAUGAAAUGAGCAUUCCUCACUACUACUGCUUGACUGAUGGAACAUGAUGCACGAGAUAGCAUAAGUAGUAGUAGGAAGCAGCUCUUAUUUGUGGCGUCGGUAUACAUCAUACUAGGUAGAUGGUUCAAUUGGCAUGGAUGGGUGGUGGAGCCUUGAAGUGCUUGUGAUGGGGAGCCCACGGCUUCUUCUCAGGAGUUGGUGGCUUCUUGUAUGGAGUUGAUGGAGGUGUUUCUACUGGAGGGUGGCCAGGGUAGUGACCCUGGGGUGGUGAAGGUUCUUUUGUCGGUGGUGGCCUCACUAUUAUUGGCGGUAGAGUUGGUGGCUUGGGCGUUGGCGGUGGUCUCACUACUCUUGGGGGUAGAGUUGGUGUCUUGUGUUUUGGUGGUGGAGGUGGCUUAACAGGAGUUGGUGGCUUGUAUUCUGGGGGUGGUUUCUCCACCGGAGGUGGCUUAUAAACUGGAGUUGGUGGCUUGUAUUCUGGGGGUGGCUUCUCCACUGGUGGUGGCCUGUAAACAGGGGUUGGUGGCUUAUAUUCUGGGGGAGGCUUCUCCACUGGAGGCGACUUAUAAACAGGGGUUGGUGGCUUGUAUUCCGGGGGUGGCUUCUCUACGGGAGGUGGCCUGUAAACAGGGGUUGGUGGCUUCUCCACCGGAGGUGGCUUAUAAACGGGGGUUGGUGGCUUGUAUUCUGGGGGUGGUUUCCCCAGUGGUGGAGACUUGUAAACAGGAAGAGGUGGUUUGUGCUCAUAUGGGGGUGGCUUGUGGUCAUUAGCAAGUGAGGGAGUGGUGAGGACCACCAAUCCAAGGAACAACACGAGUGAGCAAGCAGAAGACAUGUUUGGGCUCUGGUGAUGCACAAGUAGAAGAAAUGGGAACCAUUUAUAAUGCUUCGAGACCUUGGUUAGCACCAAAAUAUGUCAAAAUCUUGAUUACUUCAUUUCAUACAUAGAUUUAAAAUUAUUUCAAUCAACCAUGAUCCUUAAUUUUCUGGGUGGUCCAUAAAUGUAAUGGGGUCAAUUUGGGACCUAACAAGCUGAGAAGUUUGACAAUGCUGCAAGGCUUCAUCCGAAAGUCCGGGGAAGAAUAUUAGGAGUUACACUCCGUUUCCUUUUUUGGGUGCAUUUUUCUCCUUUAACAUUCUAUUCCCUUUUACAUUAGCAUUUGAUCUUAGCUCAUUUCAAGUACAAGUUUCUUGAACCCUAUACCAUUGUCAAAGUUGAGUAACCAUCUCUACUUUGCUCAAGAAACAUAAAAGACAAUGACAAUAAAGAAAAAGGAGAGAGACCAUACGUGACUUGGUUUAUAGGUGGCUUUGUGUUGACAUUUGAGUAUGGAAGCCGACAUGCAUCUUAGCUUCGAUUUUAAUUAAAUUUGUACAUUAGUGUCUGUGUCAUUCAUUUUGGUAUAAAAGGUCUCUUGAUUUCGUAAGUUUGGUAAGAACCGUUGAAAAUAGCAGUAGCAGCACAUGGUCCACUUUCUUUCACAAAAUAAUUUUAAAAGUUUAGAAGCAUAGGAGGUAACAUUAGUGGCCUUGUGGCUCAGCCACGAGUACUAUGUGGUGCUCGAGAAAUUGAGUUUAAUUUCCUUCCGAUAGUUCAUGAUAAGGUCCGUCACUGUCCUGAGACAGAUUGCGUUUUUUCUUUUUUCCUUUUUUAGUGUUUUAUUGACUAGCUAGGUGUGACUUUUCCUACUUUAAGGCACGAGGCAGAAAAGAAACUGGGAUUUAGUGCUUAAGAAGGCAAAUUUAAUUCGAUUUGGAUCUAAAAUUUGCCAGCAACAUGAGAUUUUCCAGCCUAUCGUUGCUCCACAUAUAGACAAGGCACUUGUAGAAGUGGCUUGUUUGUAGCCAUUCCCGAUAUUUGGACUCACUUGAUUCACCGGACACUUUGAUAAAAUUUAAUAUUUAUUAUUUAAUAAUUUAAAUUGAUUUAAAAUUAAAUUAUACCGAAGUUGUGAUUUAAAAAUUAUUAUUUAAUUCUUACUUUUAAAUAUGAAGAUUAUUUGAUAAAAAUAAUUUAAAAUUUAUUAUAAAUUAUCAAAUUAACAUAUUUAUCCUUAUAAAUUAUAAUUAAAACAGAAAAGGUCAAAUGAUUUGAGUAUCCAUAGAUGUGGUAAAAUAAUAAAAAAGAUUAUAAAAACAAUUAUGAUAAAUAAAGAUAAAAAGUAAAAUGAAUAUGUGAAUUUAAAGAAUAAAUUAAUUAUUUUUAUUUAUUACUUAAAAUUAUUUUUGACUUUAAAUUAUAUUAUUAAAUUAUUUUACCAAACAUACUUAAUUUAGUUAAUAAUUUAAAUUUAAUUUAAGUUAUUAAAUUGAUUCACCAAAUACCCACUUAAUCAAAGACUGAAGUAUACAUUAUUUGGCCAAAUGCAGCUAUUGAAAUUUAACUUUUUCCAAACUUAUUCAUUUUGUGGAAAUAUUUUUAGAAAUGAUUUUAAAAAUGCACUAUUCUGUGUGUUGAUUUUAUAUUUUGGCAUUAAUCCAACAUAGAAAACGGUUCUUAUUUUCGCUGUUAAAUAGGUACCAGAUCCUUAAUUAGUGCCGUGAAUCCGGCAGCUUCCAAUGAGUAAUUUGGACUUGGGUAUUGACAAUGUGUGGCCAUGCUUCUACUAUUUUAUUAUUCUUGAAACAUAUAUGAUAUAUUGGACUUUAUACAGGGAAAAAAAAAAAAAAAAGUCUUCACCAAAAAUGAUUCCUCCUAAAAAAUAGACUCCACAAACUAGGUUUAACAGGAAAAUGAUUCUAAUCUAGUAGUUUCCAGCCACAUGAGCAUUUACGUAACAAUAGUAUAGUUGAUAACGACUUUUAUUUUAUUUAUUUUUAAAUAGUUAAAGGGAUAAUUUUUGAGCUUAAAUUUUAUUUUUUUAUUUAGAAACAUUUUACUUUAUUUUUUAAUCAUAAUUCUAUUAUAUUAAUGUUUUAUUUUCUAUUUUUUAAUAUAUAAGGAGAUACUAAAUUUAUGUGAUUAUUUUUUAAAAAUUUAGUAUAUGAAAUUAAAUAAUUGGAUAUAUAUACAUAUAUCAUAUAAUGUUUUUUAAGUGUGAUUUUUGAACUUUUUAGUCAUUUUAUAAGUUUAAGCUUUUGAUUUUUUUUUUUAAACUUUGGUAUUUUUUAUUUUAUAUAAAACUAUUUUGAUUUAAUUUUAUUAAAAAAUAUUGGUAUUAUAAAUUAUUGUAUUAAUUAUUUUUUUAUAUUAUAAUGUAACUGGUAUAUACUAAAAAAUGUAUGCAAGUUCAAUUUAAGUUUCAAAUUAAAAAAUUUCAUUUAAAUAUUUAAUAACUUGUUCAUAAUAAAAAAUUAAACAACAUAAUACAAAUGAAAAGAAACAUAAAAGAAAAAGGAAAAAAUGGUCCUCUCUGUGUGUCACAUUACUAGGUCAUCCUCUUUUUCUAUGACCCUUACAAUAGAAUGGCAUAUUUGUCAAAUCUACUUAUGAAAGUUGGAAUGUUUCUACAUGUGUAGGGUCCAUUGGAACUAAUGGAGGAAAGGCUUAACGUCUAUGUAAAUCACAACGUUGCCUAGGUGGGCAUAGAUCUAGUUGUGUAACAUGAGAUGGUGUGAGAGUACAAUAUAUGCAUUGUAGUCUCUAUGGGAAGAGAGAUAGGUAAUGGUAGGGUGGUAGACGGUAGGGUGAUCUCUAAUAUAAUGACAUUUGAUGUGGUGGCUUCUAAGAGAGGAGAUAUAAGAGAUGGUAGAAUGACAUUUGGUGUAAUGGUCUCUAGUGCAAUGACAUGUGAUAUGGUGACCUAUAAAGAAGAGAUAUAGGUGAUGGUGAAGUGGUAUGUGGUGUAGUGACCUUUGAGAUAGAAAAUAGAGGUAAUGGUAGGUUGGCAGGUGGAGUGGUCUUUGGUGUAGUGACAUCAAUUAUAAAUGUCUCCAAGGGAGGAAAUAAAGGUGAUGGUAGGUAGUAAAUGUUGAGGUGGUCUUUGAUAUGUUAUGCUCUAAGAGAGAAGGUAUAGGUAAUGAUAAUAGGGAAUUUGACAUAGUGGUGUUGGAAAUAAAAAGUGAAAGUGACCGUAGAGGUGAAAGGGCAAGUGUAAAAGCCUCAAGUACGAAUGGAGUAAUUAAUGUGGAUGGUGCUAACAUAGUCUUAGGUGGAUACACAAAUAGUCAUAGUCAUCAACUAGCUUGCCCACCAUCUGUCUUUCUGCUAGUGAUAGGUUACAUCUUAAUAGUAAUGGCCAACAUAAGUGGUGUGGAUCCGAUUUUUUUACGUGUGUCCCCACUCAAUCGACAAGACUUAUUUUUUAUUAGUGAAAAAUUAAUUUUGGAAAAGUUGGAGUCACCACUUAUUUUAUUUUAUUUUAAAAAGGAAAGUAAAACAAGAAAGAGAACUCUAAAGAAGUGACUUCAUAGUUUUGGAAAAGUUAGUCUUAAAAAAUCCAAGUCUUGGUCCGGAGAUCAGGUUACUUAUUGGGAAGAUACCUCUAAGAGGUAAUACCCCUCUAAACCCUAAAGAAGUCUCUAAUGACUAAGUUGAGGAGAAUGUGGUAAUUAAUUAAUUGAUUGAGGGUACCUAGGUAGACUAAGGUGAUUUCAGAAUUAACAUACCAAGCUAGAAAGUCCAAUCAUGAUCAUAAAAGAGAGUCAAAGUAUGUACCUGAACUGCUUCUCAAACGCUAUCAUAAAACAUCAAAGUUAGUAUAGAAAUAUAACACAUAAUAUUUGUUUUAUCCAAGCAAAUAAAGCAUACAUCUAAGCACCCAAGAAUCACAUCAAGUAUGGAUAUAGUCAUCAAUAGCAUACGUGUCCAUAGAACUAUCGAAAGUAAAUGUGGAGGAGCGUAUCUGGACAACAUAGAUAACUUAUAAUGUGCUUCCACAAGACAUGGGGGUUAGAUAAAAGUUAUAAUAAUAAUUAGUAAAUGAAAGAAUUCUAGCAUGUUUGGUAUCUAAAUAACAUAGCAAAAAUGAACAAGAGUACACGAAAACAUCAAUUAUCACACGAGUCAUAUUGGCUAGUAUUUAAUCAAUAAACCAACAAUAAAUGACUAUAAACAUAUAAAAUGACAUAUUCAAAGAGACCCAAACAUAAAGAGCCUAGAACACAAGCUUACACUAAAUUUAGAAAACUAAAACAUGGAAUUUUAAAAGCAUAAAUUAGCAAACAAAUUGAUGGAAACUAAAUUUAGAUAACUUAAGAAUAUUUUUCUUAUCCUUCAAUUUAAAUCAGUAAGCCAACAAUAAAAAAUUAUAGAAACAUGGAAUAUCAAGAUCAAUGGGAUACCUAAACUAUAAUUUUUAAAAGAAAAUAAACUAAGCAUAAUAUCUACAAAGCAACUAAACUAACAUUUUUUUAAAAAUAAAUUAAACAUGACAUUAAUGGAGUAACCAAACUAAAUUAAAGUAAACUAAAAACAUUUAUGAAUUUUCAAACAUGGAAUCAGCUUUCUUAGUAAAUUAAAAUUAUUAAAAUAAAAUCUAAGCUUAAAAAUGAAUUAAAUACUAACUAAAGCAAAUCUAAAACCAAAUAUUUAACACAUAGGAUCAAUUAUAUUAACAAACUAAAAUUUUAUAAGAACACUUAAACCUAAAGUUGAAUUAAAAACUAACCAAUUUUUAAAACUAGAUCUUUAACCCAUAGGAUCAAUUAUAUUAACAAAUAAAUAAUAAAUAAUAAAUAAAUAAAACUCAAACCUAAAGAUGAACUAGAAAUGUACCAAAGUAAAUUCAAAACAAGAUCUUUAACACAUUAGAUCAAUUAUAUUGACUAACUAAAAAAAAAAAAAAAAAACACUCAAACCUGAAACGAUGUAUUAGAAACUAACCAAAGCAAAUUUAAAAUAGAGUCUUUAACACAUAGGAUCAAUUAUAAUCACUAACUUAAAUUACAAUUUUUGAAACAUGAACUAAUUAGUGUUGGAUUAAUUAAACUAAUUAACUAAAAAAAACUAUAAACUAGAAUACGGUGAAUCAAGAAUUCAAAUCAACAAACAUAAAAUAUGGGUACAAUGAAAUGAAAAUCUAUUAAACUAAUAAGACGGAAAUAUGACAAACUCAUGAACCCACAUUUUGAUCAACUAGGAAAUAGAAAUUAAUAGACCUGUAGCAUGGAUACAAUGAAAUGAGAUCAGUUAAAUUUAUUUGCCGAAAUUCUAAAAAACACAUACACUCAAAUAAGAUCUAAAUCUAAGACCAAGCAAAACUCAAACUUUCUCAAUCUAAUGCAAUGAAUCAAAACUAAAAUUAAAUAGAAAUCAAACCAUUUUUUUUUUAUCUAAUAUAAUAAAUCAAAGCUAAAACUAAACAAAAUCGAAUUUUCUUAAUUUAAUAUGAUGAGUCAAAGCUAAAAUUGAACAAAGUUCAAACCUUUAUAUAAUGGAUCAAAGUUAAAUCUAAAUGAAAUCCAUACUUCCACAAUUUGAUAUAACAAAUCAAAAAUAAAACUAGAUAAAAAAAAAGUCAAAGCCUUUCAACUUGACAUAGUGAAUCCAAACUGAAACGAAACAAAAUUUUAACUUUUCCAAUGAAACCCAAUAUAGAAAAAAUUAGCUUACCUUCUUUAGAAUAUAUGUAUGGGCCAUAAAGAAGUCACCUUGGUGCAUGUGUUCCUCACUUUGACGCCAAUGGACGACUUUCUAUGGUAGCAAAUGGAGAUCCUUUUUGGUGGUAACUUGCGUGUGGAAACCUAUGGUACAACCAAUGUCAUCUUUUAUUGUGCGUGUGGACCAAUUUCUUCUCGAGAACUCAUGUGUGUUGUGCUCAAAAUAUGUUGCCUGUGAGAAUCUAUUGGUAUACCCCACAUAUGGUUUCCUUGAGAGAAUCUGUGGUUGUGUGUGGGCGUUUUCUUCAUGACAGCAUGUGGAUGUUCCCAUCUAUGGUAGAUUGGUUGUGAUGCUUUAGUGCAUGGUCUCCAUAGGAAUAGUGUGUUAUGGAAAUUUGGUUUUUUUAUUGGUGCAUGUUGUCUAGACUUUCCCAUAUGCGUGGACUGUGUGUUCAUGCUUUUCUUUUCGGAUGGUCGCCUGUGUUAAUGUGUGGCGGUGUCUACAAUGAAAGAUACAACCCUUUCUCUCCUUCUGCGUGAUAGAAAAGUCAAUCCCCCAUGGUGCGACUAUGUUCCCUCGUCCUUUUUGAAAAAUUUUGGUGUUUUCCCCCCAAAAAAUCCCCUCCAAAAAUCUAAUUAUAAAUGUCUGCUUUGGCCUAAUGUGUGUGCUACUUUUUUUUUCCUUCUUUUUAUGGUUGUGCGUGCUUUUCUUGAUACGUGGCUUAUUUCUUAAGGAUAUGAUUCGCUCCCAAUUGGUGUCUCAGCUGAUUCAUGUCCUUUCAAUGGUCCCUGACAGUGGUGCCAUUUGAUUCGUGUCCAGCUGGUGUCCCUUGAUUGUGGUCCUCAGAAGGGAGUAAUCAAUAAAAUUUAUAACCUAUUACACCAUGUAUUAGGAUAGCCUUAGCUAGCAUAGCAUAGUGGCUCUAGGGUCGUUUAUUGGGAUGAGUUUUCACUUCACAAUUGAUAUUAAUUCAAGAGCUGAAUUGGUGCCUUUUCAUUUCAAGGUUAGCUUUAAAAGAAAACAUAAUCUUUGGUGGAAAAAGGUUUGGUUUUAAACUAACCAAAAAUAGUAACUGAUUUUACUUACAAAGAAAAGUGUUCUUUGGAGUUUAGAUCACUAGGCUCAGGUUCCUCAUACAAAAAGGAGAGUUCCGAUCAUUUGUUUCUUUUCCUCGCAUUAGAGAAUUAACAUAUAGUUAAUUCUCUAACCGGUGCGGUACAUAUGCUUCCCAUUAAUGGGUUCAAACACUAAAUACCUCUCACUGAUGCACCUUGCAAUGGCUCGUGCCUCUCACCUAGCAUUUAUCAUUCAAGGUGAUCUUUAACCUUGGAUUACCCAUCAAAAGCUCGCAAGAGAUAACUAAAGGAUGUCUCCUUAGAGUCCAAAAGCUUACCAAGUGUUGGUUAUUCUAGAAAAUCCUACCUUCAAACCACCUCCCAAAGGCUCGCAAGAGAUAAACAAGUGCAUCUCAAUGGAUGAAGAUCACUUGCCUUACCAAGUUUUGGCCCAGAUGAUUUAAUGACAUUUUAAGUUAACUAAAAAGAUAAAAACCAUUAACGGGUCACACUUUCUCUUCAUUAAAAACUAAAACAACAAAACUUCCAAUUUAUGCAUGAGGAAACUUACCUGGCUUUCUUCACUUCAAGAGAUGAAGAGCCUAGCCACUCAUCAUUUGAGGAAAAAUCCUCAGAGUUUGAUUUGCUAGAAAUAAAAAUAAUGAGAAAACAAAAAUAUAUAUAUGAAAAACAGAGCAAGUUCUCUGUAAUAUAUUUUUCUUCCUUAUACAAAAGGUUGUCUCUAAGAACAAGUUCCCGAGAUCUAUCUGAUUGUAAAUAAAAUUACAACUAUAUAUAAGAGGUUAUUCACCCCUUUGUUCUUUCUUAAAGACUAAGGAAUCCUAUGAUAGGUGGGUUACAAGGAGAGUUUGGGGAUUUAGACAUCAAAUAUCUAAAGCAAAAUAUCUCAAGAUGUUAGUCGGAAAUAUCAGGAAGCUUCAGGAGAACACCGCGACACUGUAUACUGAGAGAAAAACUCUCCGGGUAAGCUCUAUCAAAGGAUCCAGACAUGUCUGACUGGGAAAGUUGAAACGUCCUUCUCUCCCAUCCGGAUGUGAGAUAUCCGGAGAAAGUGAAAUGUCGGUCGGACAGAAUUCUUUCCCCGGGUGGAAUGAGUUGUGUUGCGCGUCGCAAGGGGGACCGUCUGCGUGUACAAGUUGUAGGGACCCCUCUCCCGGAUGACACCGAGCGCGUAAGGCUAUCCGGAUCAACUCCAUUCGGAUUCCCCAAGAGGACAUGUGGCGUGCUCCCCUAUCAGGACUCCCUUAGGGAGAAGCACACGACACUCGUGAACAUCAUACCCGGACGAUAGCAUGUCCUAUCCGGAUGUGUUGUCCGGAUCAUUGACUAAAGUGAGCAAGCCUUGCUACGUCAUUCGGACAGCUUGCCACAUACCAUGUUCCGUCGCCAUCUGAUGGUGUGUCCGAACGCCUUGUCCGGACAUCUUUUGCUCCUUGCAUUCCGGAUUUGCUUAUGACAAAGGACUUCAAAGCUUCGGUUCUUCAUGUUUCUGAGCUUUCCAUUGCUUUGCCAUGGAUUCCAAAGAACUCUCCUUAAUCACGGAUUGCUUUGGUGAUCAAAAAGUUAUCAAAACACAAAAACUUAACAUAGUUUGAUUAGAAUUGAUUGCAAGGGUUCUUAAUAUGUUAAUUGGGUUAAAAGGUGAUAACUACUACUCAAAAGUGUUUAUAAGAAUUAAUUACAAGCUAUGAAAUAACACUUUUUGAGUAGUAAUCAGGAUACAUCCUAGUUUUUCAUGGAAUUGAUAGUGGGUUGUUGUGCAUGAAUGCCACCAUUUCAACUAUGCUGUUGUUAUUUUUAAAAAAAAUAUGGAUUAUGCGCGAGUGGCAAUUCUCCACUAUGGAAAGUGGAUUGCUCCUUCAACCCAUGCAUGGCUACGUAUUCCUAUGUCUUUCUACUUGUGUUUGAUCCUCCAAAAAAAAUUUCGGUUUAGUGCUAGUAGAUUUUAAGUGGUGGAUCCCCAUUUUUUGAAAAUGAAGUGGCAGCCUCCCAUUUCAAGACAAAAUGGUAGCCUGCCUUUAAUCUUUGGAGAAAAAUCUGUGCAUGACCUUUUUUUUUCCCAAAAAAUCCGUGCAUGGUGUCCUUUAAUAUUUGGAGAAAAAUCUAUGUUGGAUCUUUUCUUUUCUAGAAACAUUUGUGUGGUCUUUUUUGUUAGCCCAAGGGUUCUUCUAAUCAAGUUUUGAUGAUAACAAACCAUGGUUAAGUGACUAAUUGGUUUAAUGAUUAAGAAUCUCAAACAUAAAAUCGAAAAUUCAUCAAAGGACCAAAUGGAUACAAGAUCGAGACGCUUGGAAGACUUGUAAUCAUAGGAAACUAAUGUAAGAUGAAUGCAUGAGUGCACUUAGGAUUUUCACACGUUUCAUGCAACUUAGAAAACCCAGUUUAUUCUUUAAAACUUCAUCCCAGUUUAUUCUUUUUAUGGUUGUGUGUGCUUUCCUUGAUACGUGGCUUAUUUAUUAAGGAUACAUCCCAGUUUUUCAUGGAAUUGACAGUGGGUUGUUGUGUGUGAAUGCCACCAUUUCAACUGUGCUGUUGUUAUUUAAAAAAAAAAAAAAUGGAUUGUGCGCGAGUGGCAAUUCUCCACUAUGGAAAGUGGAUUGCUCCUUCAACCCAUGCAUGGCUACGUAUUCCUAUGUCUUUCUGCUUGUGUGUGAUCCUCCAAAAAAAAUUUUGGUUUAGUGCUAGUAGAUUUUAAGUGGUGGAUCCCCUUUUUUUGAAAACUAAGUGGCAGCCUCCCAUUUCAAAACGAAGUGGUAGCCUGCCUUUAGUCUUUGGAGAAAAAUCUGUGCAUGACUUUUUUUUUCCCAAAAAAUCCAUGCAUGGUGUCCUUUAAUAUUUGGAGAAAAAUCUAUGUGGGAUCUUUUAUUUUCUAGAAAAAUUUGUGUGGUCUUUUUUGUUAGCCCAAGGGUUCUCCUAAUCAGGUUUUGAUGAUAACAAAUCAUGGUUAAGUGACUAAUUGGUUUAAUGAUUAAGAAUCUCAAACAUAAACUCGAAAAUUCAUCAAAUGACCAAAUGGAUACAAGAUCGAGACGCUUGGAAGACUUGUGAUCAUAGGAAACUAAUGUAAGAUGAAUGCAUGAGUGCACUUAGGAUUUUCACACGUUUCAUGCAAUUUAGAAAACCCAGUUUAUUCUUUAAAACUUCAAUUUCAUUAAAACCCGAGUUUUUAACUAAUGUACCUUAGGCAAAAUGUUUUAUAAUUGGCUUAAUAAUUCACCUAAAUACAUUUUCUAAGUGUUAGAAAAGAAAGGAAUUAAAAAAAGGUUUUCGGGGCAAAAAAGGCUCAACCGGUCGAGGCUAUGGUCAACCGGCUCAACCGGUUGAGGAACCAAUCGAUCGGUUGUGCUUGUCCGAUCGAAGACCAAUCGAGGGAUGCCAAAAAAUUUCUCUCUCUCCUAGUGGCCUUCUCUUCCCGGUCGAGGUUCGGUCUAGGCAACGGUAACAUGUCAAGCAUUAAAUGCUCCGACGACUAGUGAAUCGGUCGACCCCUAGCCCGAUCGGACGAGGUUGCCUUUUGCUGUUUUUGACUCCCGAGCUUAGAAACCUAUAAAUUGAGAGCUCCACUUCAUUUAUUGAUAAAAGAGAACACUUGCAUUCAAUAGUCUACCUACCUUUUCUUGAUCAAAAAGCUCUCAUUUCCUUCAUAGUGCAUUAAAUCAUCACUUGCAUAUCCUUUAGUGCACUAUUGUGUGUCAUCCUAGCUUUGUUUUGUAUUUGAGCUAUCCUUAAGCUAGGUUGAGGGAUUAUUUCUUAUAAAAAUCUGAGUGUUAAAGCCUUCAAGAGAUUUGAAUCUUGAAGAGAUUGUGUAAGAGCCCAUUGGAGCCGGAGUCCAAGUGUAAGAAGAUUGGAAGCUUGGUUGAAGCUUCAAGUUAGUGGAACCCUCACUCGGUUAGGAGGUUGAGGAGAGUGGACGUAGGUAAGGAAGUGUCGAACCAUUAUAAACCCGAGUUUGAAUUCUCUAACUCUAUCUCUUUAUUUUGCUUAUAUUGUGUUUGAAUUUGUUGUGAUUGAAAAGAUUUUAAAAACCUAAUUCACCCUCCCCCCUUUUGGGUUUUUUUUUCUUAAUUAAGCAUAACCUUUGUUUUCUAAUUUUCUUUUUAGGAAAAUCCAUGCGUGGUAUGUCCAAACUCUCCAAGUGGCAGUCUGCCUUCUUCUAAAAAAUUUGUUUCUAUUUCUUUAUUCGACUACCUUCCAUGUCUUCCUAAUGAGUGCUUGUGCUCAAUGGUCAAUCCCUGGUGGUUGCCUCCUUUUCCCAUAUAUACGUGUUGCAAAAUCAACAUCCCACUAUAUGUGGGUUGCCUCUAUGGCAAGUUCACAUUUCCCACAUGAAACCUAUGAGUUUCCACCAAAAAUUGCCAUGAAAAAGUCUUUAUAUGCAUCUCAUGCAAUAAAAAGUCAAGCCAAUACUCAUCUUAUCUCGAAAAAUAAGUAACCAAAAUCAAGAUCAUGCCUAAGUGAACUAUGCCAAAAGAAGUGUCCAAGUGACCUAUUAUGAAAAAAGUGCCUAAGUGACCUAAGGUGAAUGUGUGUAAGCUGGAAGGUGUCUAGGAUGUUUAGGACAAUGCCUAAGCCUAAAAUAGGGUUGCCAAGGGUCACAAUGGGGUUAGAUAAAUCUCUCAAUCAGAGUCUCCAAGGUGGCUCAUAAAAGAUAAGCUACACGAGUAAUGAUGGGCCACCAGGGAAUUAUUGUAAAGCACCAAACGAACACAUAAUAGGACAUGUGUUAGAAUGAAAAAAUGGAGGGUUUACAAGUGGUCUCAUGGAUGAGCUUGAUAAUUUAAAUGACUCACAUAAUGAACGUAUGUGAUGUUUCUCUCCAAUAACAAGCAAAACAUCACUAGCAAUAUGAUGAAUGUCUCCUAAAUCACUUGAAGUAGUCCUAGCAAAUCAAUUAGAAAAAUCACACAUAUUGCUCUAAUGUAAUAUUAUAUACAUCUGUCAAUGAAUGGGAGAACUAAUGACACAACCAUCAUGUUGAUAUCUCGAACCCUCUAAUCUCAUAUGUAGGUGGGAUCACACUUAGAAACUCAUAACACAGUAAUGACCAAUCUAAGUCAAAAUGUGUUGGUGAUCGGAGGCCCAUGAAUAUGAAGUUCUAGGAUGAUAAUGACAUCUUAUAAAGUAAUGAUCAUCUCCUUAAUAGAUAGGUGAAAUGUGUGUGUCUUAGGACACCAUCUCUCAACAAGACUUGUGAUCAAUCCCCAGUCUAGUGUAACAUGCCUAUUAUGACAUCCAUCGUAAAAUCUAGACUAGAUAAUAUAAGGACAAAUGUGAGGGUUCAUCUCCCUUUCCCACAUAAAUUUAAAAAAUUAUUAUUGACAAGUUAAGACCAAACUAAGUUGCAAAAUAUAAAUAAGUCCAUUAGAUAACAAAUUUAUGUUUUCUCAUUUUCUCAUUUUUAAAGAGAUAUUAUGUGCUUCCAUGUACAUACAUGCUAAAGUCAAUUAUACGAGACUUAUAUCCAUCUUGUAGAACCAAAUCGAACCUAUCUAAUAGAUCCAGAUUAGAAGUAUGUCCUCUAUACUCCAUAUUUAUAACACAUUUAUAAAGAUAAAUGCUAAAAAAAUGUUAAAGAUAUAAAUUUAAUGAACCAUACUUUAUGAUUUUAAUUCUCAAUUAUUGUUCAUAUUUAUAAGAGAAAAGUUAAAAAAAUUGAUAGAGUUUUCCCUCUAUCAUGGACAUUAUCCCAAAUAAAAAUAAAUUGAUUAUGCAAAUUACAUUAAUAUUUGUAACCAAAUGAUCAAUAACUAUCUUGUAUCAAUUUAGUAAAUAAAUUUAAGUAUAUCUUUUCAUUUAUGACUAACAAAUAACUCAUACUUGUCCAAUAAAAGCCACACCUAAUUUCUAAAAUUUUGUCUUCACCUCAAGUGAGUGUUACAUUGAGAAAGAAAAAAUAUGAAAGAAAAAAUGAACACCUUUUUCUUUUAAUAAAAAAAGGCCAUAACGAAACAUUAAAUCUCACUGUUACACCUAUCUUCAAUGGAAACAUGAGGAUGUGAAUGGUGGCGGUGAUAUUCUUUGCUUGAAGCUCAUAAACAAAUAUUCCUUACUAAGCCUAUGCCAUUUAGUAUUUCAAUAGUGGACCCCCCCCCCCCCCCCCCCCCCCUCCUUGCAUUUCAGAUUUAGCAAACUUAGAACCAAAUAACAAAGUGCAUUUGAACCCAUAAAGAAGUAAUGAGACUCUCCUAUAUUGGCAAUAGAAGAAAUUUUUGGAGGUAUAGGAGAUUCACGGAUGAAGAAGUUGGGCCCCAAUUGAGAUAAGACCCAAGAAAAGAUGGGGUAGAGAGGGAUGGUUGGAAAUUGUAAAGUAAGAUUUUCAAAAUGUAGUUGAUGACUAAGAUUUUGACAAUUUAAAAAAGGUUUAAAAAUGUAGUUAGCAAUCGGGGUUUUGUAACAUUUAAAAAAUAAAAUAAAAUCUCAGGCCACAUGGUAGCCCAUGUGAUUCAGAAGCUUGAGAAUUAUUUUAUAAGAAGACUUAAUUUGUGAUUUUUUUAUAACUAUAUUAUUUUUUUUCUUAACACACGAAAAAAAUUAUGAAAUAAGACAAUUUUCCUAAGAAAGCAUGUAAGUGACUCUUGGUUAUUUUAUUUAACUUCUUCUAGUUUGGAGAGGAUUAAUACCUUUGCUUUUACUCACUUGCUUGGAUAUGUACACGUUGUUCAUGUCACUUUUCAUUUAAUUUUCUGAUUAAGGGAAUUGGAACCGUACGUAACUGUCUUUAUUCCCUCUGAAACUUGGACUUGGAGUUGGACUUUCAAUCUCAUCAGUCGUGUUUCCAUAAAAAAGAAGAUGGAUUAACCAAUUUUCCUAUGCCUACUAAUCAUACACAAAACUCCACUUCCAAAUAAAAAGGAAUGGGAUAUCACUUGUUAAUAGUGGCUAAAGACUAUUAAUAACCAUGCAAAGAAAUGUCACAUUUUUUGUUCUACGCAAAUUUUAUUCAUCAACUACUAGAACCAUUUCAUACAAUAGUAGCUUUUCGAUCCUUUGAUAAAUGGACACUUGAUGUGAUAACACCAACUACACCUAUAUAUUCAAGCAAUCAUGCGUAUAUAAUAGUGGAUAUGGAUUACUUCUCUAAAUGGGCAAAAGUUUUGUCAUUCAAGGAAAGUGAACGAGGAAACACAAGUUUACUUUCAUCGGAACUAAUAUUAUAUAUUGAUAUGACUUCCCAUUAUUACUUACGAUGGAAUAUGCUUCCAUAAAAUGGCCUAGAUGAACAAACUAUCCAAGAAGUUUGGGAUCAAAUAAUAUAUAUAUAGUUCAUGUGUGAUUCUUUGGUUGACAACCUUGUUAAGGGGUGAGUGAAGCACUUUGGGCAUACCACAUACUACAUGCUAGACUUCCACCCAAGCUACCCUAUAUUCCUUAUGAACAAAGUAGAAGUUGUCAUCUCUCUUGAAUACCAAAUCCUUUCACCUAAUAAUGCUAUCUAAAAAGGUCUUAAAAAGGAUAAAAAUGCGCAUAUUUGAAUUUUUGAAUUAGGAGUGCUACUUAAAAAGAAGCUAGAUAUACAAUAAUAGAAUGUUAUCAAGCAUAUCUCUUCAAAGUUUUUGACCAAAAAAUAUAUGAUUUCUCAUUUUAGGUAGGAGACUUAGUACUCACUAUUCAAAAACCAAUUAUCAUUACUCAUAAAAACUAAUAGAAAGUUUGGGCCAAAGUAGGAUGGACCUUAUAUUAUGCAACAAUUAUGCCUAUAAAAUUGUUGCAAAAGAGGUUUUAGAAUCAAAUCAAUGAAUGAAAAAUUAUUAAAGCAUUACUAUGCUUGAAGGCUAGUCAUUUUCCCUUAAAGUGCAAUAUUAAGUUGCAUAGUACUAUGUGGAUCCGCAUUUUUCACAUGCGUUCCCACUCAUUGUCGAGACUCACUUUUUAGAAGUGAAAAAUUAGUUUUAUUAAAGUCGAAGUUGCCACUGGGGAUUUGAACCCUAACAAAAGGUUCAAUUUAAGGAUAAAAAUAUCGAUAAUCACAUAUAUAUAUAUUGGUACUUUGAUUUUAUGAAUAUAUUGAAGAAAUAUGGACAAAUAUUUUGACACAAAAUAUGUACAAAAUAAAAAUUAUAUAAAAAGUAAAAAUAAAUAUUUUAAAAUUAUUUUUUUAAAUAUAUAUAUAUAUAAUUUGACAUAUUUGAUAAUAAUAUAUAAGGGUCUCCAAAAAGCCCGUGGCCCGCUUUAGGCCCGGUCCGACCCGACAGGCUAAAGCCCGGCCCAAGCCCGCCGGGCCCAAGCUCGGCCCGAGCCCGUUUAUGGGUGGGCCGGGCCGCGAGCCCGUAGGCCUGCUCCUUUAAAAAAAAACUACAAAAAUAAAAAGUAUUAAAAAAAAUAUUCAUUUCAAAAUUUUAUUCAUUGAAUGUAUAAUUACAUUUGAAAAUGUGGGAAAAGUUUACAUCACUACAAAAUAAAUACAUCCCAACUAGGUUGGCACCUAUUUAUUUGUCAAUCAUCUGUAUUUUUCAACCACAAAAAAUAAAAAUAAAAAUAUAAUAUACAUUUAGUCAUUAUUUUCUGGCGGUGAUGGCGAACUAUCAUGCAUCCAUGAAGAUCUUGAUAAUUUUAAAGAUUCCAUAUCGGUAAGCAUCUUUGUUUCUCGAAUGGAAUCAUACAUCCUUUUAUCUGCUAUUUCCCAAUCUUUCACACAUAUCCCUGCUUUAAUAACAUCUGACGCUAAGUUGCAUCGUUUUUUACUAACUACUCUUCCACCUGCACUAAAAGCAGCUUCUGAUGCAACUGUACUCACAGGAACUGUUAGUACAUCACGAGCAAUUAUAGAAAGCACAGGAUAUUUGUGUUGAUGUGAUUUCCACCAUAUUAAAAUAUUAAAAUCUUCUUGAUCUUCAAAUGAAAUUAUAUCAGUAUUAAGAUAUUUAUCUAAAUCAGAUGUAUUAUUUGGAGAAUUAUUUGUUGUCUUUUUUCGACUUUUCAACAUUUCUAGAGCUCCUUUAUAAAAAGAUGAGGAGUUUGUAGAUGUAGGUGGUAAUUUAAUAGUAUUAAUAUCAUUACCAUAUUUUUCUUUAUAAUAGUUAUAUAAAUUAUAUAAUAAUGAAUUUAUUUCAUUUUUAAUUUCUUCAAUUUUUAUUUGGUCAUUAAAAUAAAUAAUUGUUAACCAUUCAUCCAAAGCUUCAAAUUUCAAUCUAGGGUCCACAAUUAAAGCAAUAUAAAAAAUUAAAGGUAUUUCUCCCCAAUAUUUUCUAAAUUUUUAUAUCAUUACAAAUAUUGUAUCAUUAAAUAUUUCAAAACUUAAAUAUUUUUGAAGUACAAUAAAAAUAUUAGUUAUUUGCGUAAUAACUCGAUUUGAAGUUGGAUAAUAUACACCACAAAAAAUGUUUGUUGAAGUAUCAAAAAUUUCAAAAAGAUCUCUUAAAACAUCCGCAAUAUGCCAAUCAUAAUCAUUUAAUGCAUAAAUAUCUGCUUCAUAAUCAUUGUUAAUUAAUUGUAUUUCAUAUAAUUCGACUACUUUUCUAUAUUUUGUAAUAUUUUCUAAAAGUUUAUAUGUGGAAUUCCAUCUAAUAGCCAUAUCCAAAUUUAUAUUUUUUCUUUUCAUAUUUAACAUUUUGCAACAAUCAAAAAAUAAUUCAUGUUUUGCUUGAAAACUAUUAAUACUAUAUGCAAUGCCUCUAAUUUUUUUCCAAUGUACUAUCAACAUUUUUUAAUCCAUCCUUUACAAUUAAAUUUAAAAUAUGUGCACAACAACGCACAUGAAAUAUUUUAGCAUGAUCUUCUUUUACUUGCCAAUAUCGUUUUAGUCUAUGUAUUGCUGCAUCAUUAUUAGCAGCAUUAUCUAAUGUUAUUGUCAAUAUUUUAUCACGAAUGCCUAAAUCUAUAAUUUCAUCAUUUAUUAAAGAUGCUAUAUUUUUACCACUAUGUGGAGUAUUUAUUAAUUUAAAUAAAAUUAUUCUUUUAUUUAAUUUCCAUUCAUUAUCAAUGUAGUGAACAAUUAUAUAUAAAAAACCAGUAUGAGUUAAAGAUGUCCAAAUGUCAGAUGUUAAACGAAUAUUUCCUUCAAAAUUUGCAAAAUUUUUUUUUAAAAUUUCUUUUUGUGUAUAAAUUUUUUUCAUAAUAUCUCUUUUAACUGUAUUUCCAGAUCAACCUUUAAAUUGAGGAUUAAUACCUCGUUGAAUUGUUCUUGCAAAAUCAUGAGUUUCCAUCAUGUUGAAAGGUUGUUCUGCUCUUAUUAUAUAAUCAAUCAUUUCUUCACAACAGUUAGAUUCAUCAUAAGAAAAUGUUUUUAAAUUUCCACUUUCAUUUUUACUUAAUUGCAUAUAAUUUCUAAUAUCUACAUUAUUUUUAGUUUUACAAUUUUCAUGAUGUCUUUUUAAAUGACUUGUAUCUGCAUUUGAGCCACCAGUAAGAAAUUUAUUACAAAUUUUACAUUUUGCUUUUAUUUUUUUUUUAUUAUUUUCUAAAAUUAUUUCUAUUCUAUCAAAAAAAUUCCAUAUAUUUAAAGUAAAUUUUUUGUUUGAUGAUAUUUCAUCACAUGGACUAGACGAAGAAGCACUUGUCAUAUUAUAAUUAUUGAUAAAAUAUUAUGCCAAAAAUAAUAAAGUAAUAAAUAUAAAAAAAAAUGUAACAAAAAAAAUAAAGUAGUAGGGGUGAAGUAUGUUACUCAAUUAGAGAACCUAUGCAGAAAUUCCUAGCAAAUUUGAACUCUUGGAGCCACCAAUGCUUGUUUUGCACCAUCAACAAUAUUGUAUAAUUUGAGGGAAAAAUAAAAGAAUUUAAAAUAUUGUAGAAUGUGAGAGAAAUAGAGAGAAUUUGAUGAAAAAAUGAAAAGGAAGAAAAUGUAUUUAUAGGAAGGUUAAAAAUAAUAAUAAUAAUAAUAAUAAUAAUAAUAAUAAUAAUAAUAAUAAUAAUAAUAAUAAUAAUUGGCCAUGUGACCGUUGGAGGCUUAGCUCCAACGGUCACAUGGGCUGGAGCUAGGCUCCAACAGUCACAUGACCGUUGGAGCCUUUAAUUUUUUUUUUUAAAAUAAUAUACUUUAUUUUUAUAUAUAUAUAACUAACUCAAUUAAUAAACAUAAAAAGAAUAUAGUUCAGUUGGUUAGAACCUUGAAGUUUAAACAUGAGGGGAGGGGUUUGAAUCCCUCCCUCUCCCUUAGGGGCUUUUUUAAAAGCCAUUUUGGCUUAUUUCAAAAAGCCUGUCGGCCCGACCCGCCCUGCAGCCCGCGGGCCUAGCAUUUUAGCAUGGCCUGGUCUGUUGACUAGUCAAAUGGCUCAUAGGCUCGGCCCGAACUGGGCCGCGGGCCUCUUAUUUACGGACCGGCCCGACCCGGCCCGCCCGUUGGAGACCCUUGAUAAUAUCUUCUAUAUUAAGUUACAUUAUAGUUUAUUUUACAAUAUUAUUAUGAUAAUAUGUCUAAUUUUAAAAUAUAUUUAAUAUUAAAAUUAUGAUCUAUUUUAAUUUAAAUGUAUUCAAUGAUAUCAAAUAAAUAAUAAUAUAUGUAUAAUUCUUUUAUUAUUUAUAUUUAUUAUUUUUAAUAAAUAUAUAGAUUAUAUAAAAAAGACCGGAUAUAUCUUUUCAAAUUUUGUAUCGCUCUCCAAGGAUAUUAGAUGUAUGGGAAUUUGUAUUGCUAUCUACGGAUACGUUGAUAUAUGGGUGAUUUAUCAGGAUAAUUAGAAAUUCUAAUUAUGUAAGCAGGUACGGAGUUCUGUGUCGGUGCGAUCUUGUCGACAACAGCUCCAAAUUGUGCAUCUUGCUCAUAGAGAGUAGCGGAAUGCACCAAUCGUAGGCUCAGAGUACCACUGAGUCGUCUGGCAGAGACCCAACUGAAGGUGCCUGUGUUGUUCCUGAUCUGAUCAGGCUUCAAACUACAAGGUGGAAUACUGGUUCCCCUAUAUCAGAAGCUGGAGAUACCCACCCCAUAUGCUCGUCUGGAUGUGCUCCUACCCUUUGAAGCCUUCUUCCGAGUCAAGUCCGAAUUGAUAAGGCUAGUGAGUUCCCAACCAACUGUACUCAGCAUGCUGCCAGGUGGAGACCCUCCAUAUUUGAUGGCUUCCUAAUAUUAAAAUGCUGACCACUGGUCUUCAUGUUCCACAGGCUUAAUUGUGUCCUUUGCUGAAAGAAUGGAUAGUGAUCCAUUUUAACACAUGAUUCACGCCGUCUUUGCCAUUCUUCAUGGUCUAGCCCUUUUAUAUAUAUGCUUCCUGAACUGUUGCUAUUAAUAAAAUGUGGUAUCUAUCCCGUACACCUUCCUGAUGGCCAGCGAAUGCAGAAGCUACAGAAACGGUUCCAUCUUUUGCUUCCGCCACUUUGGCAUCCUCCAUGAUGAGAUCGAAGGUGAAUAAUCAUAUUCUGGGGAUUUAUGUCCUGGAUAUUCUCAGUAAUGCCCAAUUUCCUGGUGCCGGCCUCAUUUCCAUGGGAACUGAUGGAUAACUUAAGGCUUCUACCAUCUGCGUGGUUCGCUUCUAACACAGGAAACUUCACGGCUAAAAGCAAGAUACCAAGAACAUCAAGGCUGUGACAAAAAUUAGUAUUUUUAACUUGUAGGAAUUUGAAAGGCAACCAACCAUCUAGCUCUGUUCUUAAAGCUCCCAUAGGAGGAUCAGAGGCUGGAUUGCUCAAGAUGAACUCAUCCAUUGUUGCACUUAAAAAGAAUUGGCAUGAAUUGUGGCCGCUCUAAUAGGUUCCCUAAACCAUCAUCCAAGUGGGCUUGCGGAAGGUAGCGAGUUUAAAACACCUAGGGCGAUGAACAGUGGACUGUGAUGCUCACAAAAGAGAAAAGGAAGAAUUCAAUAAUUCCUAAGAAUCCAUUUGCCUGUCAUCCAAAUUUUUAUAUUCUCUUCAGUCUGACGCGUUAUGCCAUAUAUUAAAAAUAGCGGCUUCUUCCAAGCCGAGACAGACUGUGCAAAGUUCGCAAGGCCAAUCAUCACCAUAAUCUGAAGUUGGCCUCCUCAAUCGCAGCUUGUAUCCGAAUGCUCACUUCACGGGAUGGAUUGUAAUGAAAACUAAUCUCAGUCCCAGCUAUGGCAGCAUCCUCACUUGACAGCAUUUUCUGCAUAUUCUAGAACAAAGCAAUAAACCCUCAAAGGCUCCUUCGGAUCAGAGUUAGAAGACUGUCCCUCAGGAACGUGAACACUAUGGUGGUUCUGAUAAGCAGUGAUAUUGCAUUAGAGCCUUUUGGAACAAGAGGAUCUUUUCAGGUGGAAACUGUAAACUGCUUCAUGUUGGGCUGCAACCUUUUCUUCAAGCAAUACUUUCUUUCUGUAUCACGACUUAUGUUGCUUCCGGAGCCAUCCCGUGUGGACUGCCCUUCAGUGAAAGAAUAUGUGUGUUGACAUGUUGGAUUGUAAUCUUUGUUCCACUCUAAUGGCUUUUGGUCCUCCUCUUUCUCUUUAUGACAGAGAACCAUUUAGUGAUCCAUCUCUAUAUUGUAGCAUUGCUGGUGCUUUGCAAUACUACACUCUCACCAAGCAUAACAUCUAUUUUUCCGUGACCAAAGUAUGUCGGUUUAUGCAUGCGCAAACUCUUAUUCAUUGGCAAGUUGUCAAGCGUAUCUCAUGAUUUCCCAAAGCCACAAGUUCUUAUGGUCUUUCUGUUCAAGCUUACAAUGAUCUAUCUUUUCUUGGUUAUACUGAUGUCGAUUGGGCUAGUUGCCCUGAUAACAAGCACAAUACUAGUGGGUACAACACUUUUCCUGGUCCUAAUCUCAUUUCAUGGGCAUUUUCAAAGCAGAAGGUUGUGUCUCACUCCAAUAACGAAUCUGAAUAUAGGGGACUCACUAAUUAAUGUUGUUGCCAAGGUCACUUGGAUUGAAUCUGUCUUACGUGAGUUGCGUGUUUCUCUACCCCAACCACCAAUUUUGUUGUGUGACAACAUUAGUGCUACACACUUGGACAAACCAUGUUGAAAUACACUAUCAUUUUAUCCAUGAAAGGCUUAUGCAUCACACACUCAAAAUUCAAUACACCUCUUCUAUAGACCAACUAGUCAAUGCUAUGACCAAAGCUCUUCCUUCAUCUCACUUGUACAAUCUUCAGUGCAAGCUGAUUGUUCUUCCCAAACCACUCAACUUGAGGGGAGAUGUUAAGCCAAUUUAAUAAAUUGAUUUCUUUUGGUUAAUUUGUUAGAAUCAUUUUUAUUAGAGGUUUGUUUGUACAAUUACAUCCAUUUAUCAGGAGAGUACACGUGUACAACUCCUCUUUUAAUCUCACCAUUGUAUAUAUAUGAUACACGACCUUACUCAGAAUUGCAUAACAUUUCCUCUGCUCAUUCCUUUUCUUCUUUGAAUUUUCCCUUACCUCACUGAUUUUGAUUUAUACCUGGUGUUUUCACCUUUGGUCUCUACCUUUCUAGCCAGUUUUCUAAUUAAUCCGUAUAUGGUAUACCUGUCAACUAAUGAGGAGAAAGAGAAAAGGGGAUUGCUGUUCCACCAGCUACAUAUAAUAAUUAAUUACAAUCAUGGUAAUGGAUCCUGAAAUCCAUCCUUUGUGGAUUUUGUACGGAAUAUUGUUGUUAUGUAUGUGGGCUCACUUAGAUGUAUAUUGCUAGCCUGUCUGGGAAAUGUGAUUGCAGGUCCAGAUUAUGAUGUUGAUAUUAGUGGGAUAAGCAAGAGAUGCAGUUAACACGUAUGUGAUGGACUUGAGUAACUUUUCCAUUUCAGUCCAUUUUUUAAGAUUAUGCUUAGUCUUAUUACAAGGAAAGACCAUAAGAAUCAUGAGUCAUUGGCAAGGUAAUAUCAUUCCCUCUUUACAGGCUUCUUCACCUUUUGGUUUUUUUAAUAUCCAUCAAGAUCUUUUAAUUGGAGGACAAUUACAAGUAUAUAUAUAUGUAUUAAAAGGGGAAAAUAUUAAAACAGGAAAUUUUAGGGAAAAUAUAAUAAUUAUUUCUUCCUUCUUUCCCAUAUAGAACUACACAAAAUAAAACUUUAAUAAUUUUUUCUUAUCUUUUUUAUUAUUAUUUUUUCUUAGAAACAUCCGUGGUCUCACAAGCUUGUAAUCCUAGAUUGUUAGGCUCCUUUAACAGUGCCCCAACAUCGUGGUCCAAUGACAAGCUUCCACGCCUUAAAAUCAGAAAAUGCCAUUAAACUUUAUCAGACAUUACAGUUCAAGACAAAGCUUUCAUUUGCUUAAUGUGAUAAUGAAAUUGUUAAUUUCAUUUCGUGGGCAUCUAAAUUUGGACGAGCAAGACCUCUGAAUUCCCUGUUUUUAUCACCAGCAGAGGAGAUAAAAUCUUAAUGGUGAGAAUCUCCACGUGAAAUUUAUGUGUACUGUCAACAUAUUUUUGUUUAUAUAGUCCAGUAGCUGCAGGAAGUCUAGAUUAUAUAGGUAGCAGUAGCACUAUUUAUAGCACUCGAUAUUCGCUGUAUGAAUACAUUAAACCUUGUUUUCAAUACGCAUCACAAGCAAGUACUAGAUACUACAAGGAGUGACAGUCGCAUCAACAUUUCUUGAUAAUAGCAGUGACUGAUUUAUACACAGAACAGUACUGUACACGUACCAGUCACCAGAGAUAGGAUCUUAUUCCUACAUACGACUCUUAUUGAUCGAAGUCACUCAGUUGGGGUAGCCUGGAGUUGGAGGUUUGUGUGGUGGCUUCUUCUUUGGAGGAGGCUUUAUCUUUGGAGGCAUCAUCUUUGGAGGCAUCUUGUGUGAGUCUUCUUCAGCAUUCUCUACAGGAGGAUGGCCAGGCUUAUGACCCUUAGGUGGUUUGCCAACUGGGAUUGGUGGCUUGUGUCCUGAGAGUGGCUCCUCUUCUUCGGGAGGUUUGCCAACUGACGUUGGUGGCCCGUGUCCUGGGGGUGGCUUGUGUUUUGGGGGUGGUUUCACUCCACCGGGAGGUUUACCAAUUGGUGUUGGUGGUUUGUGCUCAAUCGGUGGCCUCUCAACUGGGGGGCGCUUGGGGUAAUCAGCGAGUGAAGAAGUGGUGAGAACCACCACUCCAAGCAACAACACUAGCAAGUAUGUGGAAGACAUCUUUGAGUUUGGCUCAGAUGGUGUAGAACUAGAAUCCUGGGUGGCCUUUUAUAUUAGUUGGGCCCUAUGCCCGAACGACAAGUGUCAUGGUGACACAUAAAGUGAUGGGGUCGAUUUGGGCCUACCGGAUUUGAAAACUUGGACAAUUCGAGAAGCGUCUCCUGACUCCGGGUUGUAAAGUGAAAGAUUAGGUAUCGACCAUUGAAGUAUGAUCACAACUUUUGGCCUUUGGCUCUCUCUACUGCCGUAUAGCUUUUUUCCUUUGGAUAUUUUUCUUAGCUAGACACAAUUAUUGAGCAGUCUAAUCUCGAAAUGGGAUUAGUAUAGCUUUAAGCAAAUUUAUUAUAGUUAGUGGAGGACUUUUAAGAGUGCAGACGACAUUUAACACAUGCAUGCAGUAGUAUAGGGGACAUAACACUAUUCUUUUUCCAAAGAUUCACAUGAUUUUUAUAUUAUAGUAUUGGCACAUUGUAUGUAGCUGGUUUUGUGGUUAAAAUUCCAUAUGUAGACACUGGCGUUUCUCCAUUUCUCACAAUUGAUGUUUACCUCCACGAUUACUAGAUUAGAUAUACCAAACAAUAACACAUUGUAUAAUCUAUCCGCCCUUCAAAAUCUACUGUAUGAUGAAAUGUUUCAUGUGUGUGUGAAGUGUUAGAAAUGCACUAUAGGCAACAUCAUCUUCUUUUGUCUAGGCUUGGGCCUCAAAUUAUACUCCCAUGCCAUGAUAAAUUUUCAUGUGCAUUCUCUAAAGAAGAGUGUCUUGAAUGUGCCAAAUCAUUUUGAUUGAUUUUAUGAUGUUAAUUGCUCCGCAUAUGGAUGGGUAUGUGCUUUAUUUGCUUAUUCAAUCCACAAUUACCUUGAACUGAAGUCCUAUUGGAGCUCUAUUAUUUUAGCAACGUCCUGUCAAAUAGGCUGCUAACUUGGGGUGGUAUGGACCCAAUGAUCCAUCUUAAUCUUGGGUUGAUUUUGUCUGACUCUAUCUAUCUCAGAGAGAACCAGGAUCACCAGUGCUGGUCUGCUUAAAGAAGACUCAGUACUGGAUUAAUAUUGGUUUGGGUCAAUAGCUUAUAAUGCAUUGAAUGCAGAAUAAACAAGAUCAAUGAAACCCAAAACACACUGCCCACACAACUUCACUCUGGUGUCUGUUAUUCAUCAAUUCUAUUCCCACAUGAACUGGUUCAAGUUUAAGAAAAUGACAACGGAUCCACUGUAUUAACUUGGUUUUGCUUGGUUUUGAGCUAGUUGCCAAACCAGCCAUGAGUUUUACCUCUAAUGUCAAUGAACAAACCCCAAAUGAACAACUGCAACAGCUUAAAGAGAAGGAAUGGAGAUGAAAAUCCCUGUUUCUUCUCAUUCUGGGGACAAAUUAGAACAUAACUACAAAGGUUCUAUUAAUUGACUUACUCUACCAUGAAUUAUGGUUCUUUGGUUUUCCAAAUUUAAAUUGUACAUGAGAUUAUUUUUUUCCUUUAUAUAUAAACAUAUUAAGGUUUUCUUAUUUCGUGGGCAAAUGCGCUAAGGAUGAAAGUCAUUUCAUUUGGCUGCAACAGCAUCUUAUAAUCAACAUGCAUAAGCAGCAGUUUUAAUUGAUCGAUUGAACACCGACUCACAAGAAUAGAUAGAAUGGUACAAGACAGCUCUUAUUAAUUUAUACUCGUUACUCAUUUUAUGUAGCCCCAUUAAGAUGGCUGGCUGGACCACCGAGGUCUGGGGGUGGUGUUGCUUGUGUGAUGCAGCGGGCCGGGCAGACACUUCUCUAGUUGCUUCUAUUUGGAGUUAGAGGAUCAGUCUCUGCCAACCUUGAGGACUCUCUACCUCAGAGGGUCCAGGUGGUGGACUCUGGUGUCGGUAGCUUUGAACUCUCAGUAGACUAGUGUGUCUUAAUCAGUCACUGCCAGAGGCUGGCGUAGGCAGUGACGAUAAGGUGAGACAAAUUACCGAAUAGUCAAUAUCGACUGCACUUGACCAUUAUAGAUUUGUUCUGACAAAAGUGAGAAAAGGGAGAAAAUCGGAUGUUGACCUUUAUAGAAAAAGAUAAGAUUUACUGCAACACAGAGCACUGAUUUGUUACUUGGAAACCAAGUUAUGCUAUUAGCUAGCCUCCAUUAGCAGCAGGGUACCUUGCUGCCUGAUCCUAAUCUGAGUUCCCAAGGUUUCAAUCUUCGUUUGUUAACGCUUCAGGAUUUGGAUAUUUCAGCUUCGUUUCUCCAUUUAGCCAACGCUGCCUGGUUUGGAUUUCAAUCCUCAUCUGGAACAUUCUUUUUUCGGUCUGAUUCAGGAAGUGUUUGGUGAUAGUUGAUUAAAAUUAAACAGUACUAUCAUACAAAUAAAGCUGAUCUAAUUUUGGUGGGCAAUAUACCAACUCAUUUAUUCUUGAAAACACCAUGGGGAAUUGGAGGUCCAUCCGAAGUACUAUUUGAUGGGACUCACAAAAAGAACAGGUGCACAUUUAUGAGAUCCGUGGAAGAGAUAACUAUGACAGCUAUGCAUGUACAACAGAUUUAUGUCGAGUUCACCUCGUAGAUAUUUUGUUUUCAGUGUCGGUGGACCCCAAAAUGGAAAUCGGAAAUUAAGGUUAUAUUUAUUUUUUUAUUUAAUUUUAAAUAGAAUUUUAAUUUUUAAUAAUAUUAAGUAUUAAAUUAUUUUUUUAAGGGUAUUUUAUUUUUAUUAAGUAUUAAAAAGUAAAAAAAAUUAAUAUGUUGCUUUUUUAUUUUAAAAAAAUUAUAUAUUUUAAUUUUUUCUAUUUACUAAAAAGUUUAUAAUAAAUUAUAAAAAAAUAAAAAAAUAAAAAACUUAAAUUCUGAAAAUAAAUUAUUUUUAAUAAAAAAAUCCAAAAAAGCAAACACCACCUAAAUUUGAGAUGACUCAAAAUUUUAUAUUUUUUUUCACCUAAAUUAUAUUCAUAAAUUUAAAAUUAAAAAAUUAGGAAGUUGAAUUUUAUUUUGGAUAAUUGGAAACUACAAGAAAUCAAUAAAAAUAUUUGGAAAAAAAAGAAAAAGAAAAACUAUCUAUAUAUUCACCCCCUUCUAAGAAACAUAACUUUAGUUUUUAACUAUUUUUUAAAAUAAUUUUUGAAAAAUGUUAUAUAAUAUUUUAUAAAACAAAAAAUCUGUUUGACAAUUUGAUAUGUCUUUAACUUAUUUUUAAUAUUUAUAUAUAUAUAUUUUAAAAAUAAUUUUAUAUUUAGAACUUUAUCUUUAAUUAUUAUAUAUAUUUAUAUAAUUAUUUUUUUUAAAACAACUCUUAAAAAAUAAGUGAAAGUAAUUGAAAACAACUCAAAGAUAUUUGAUGAAAACACUCUAAUUUGUAUUUUUGAGAAUAAAAAAAUAAAUAAAUAAAUUUCUAGUUAUCAAAUGUAUUUUUUAAUUCUUUUAUUCUAAAAAAUAGAAAAUCGUUUUUGAAAAUAAUUAUUAAACAACAUUCUUAAAAAUUCACUCGUUACAAUCUAGAUUUAAUGCAAGAAUGAUUGAAGGAGUCCUCCAAUAGAACCCAAAGUUAUAAACAUGAACAAGAAGCCCUAGAAACACCAAAGAUCUCAUAUGGUAUAUAUAUGAGCUUGAUUGAGAACUGUUUUAAAUUCAGUUUUUUUUUUUUUUUUUUUUUUUUGUUUUCAAAGUCAAAACAAGUUUACUUUUAAUUUUUACUUCUUUUUUUUAAUUUUAUAAAUAACAGUUUUUUAAUAAUUUAUUUUGAAAACAUGAUUAUUUUUAAAACUUAUAAUGAAAAUAGGAAUUUUUUUUUUAAUAUCAUGGUUAUUUUCCCUUCUUUUAAGGAGGGCUAUUUUAAAAAUAAAUUUACAAAUAUGAAAAAUGAUUCAAACUAAAGCAGUACAAAUAAAAAACAUUUUUAAGAAAUAUUUAAAAAUAGAGAAAAUUAUUUGAGAACAUUUGAAGUCCUUAAAUAGACUUUUGUUUUAGAAAAGGCAAGAUAAUUAUUUUUGAAAAUUGUUUUCAUAAUGAUAUGCAAAAACCUACGUAAAAACCAUAAUUAUAAUCGGCCACAUAUCAAAUCUACUAAAUAUGAAAAGUAAGUACAUAAUUAUAUUUGACUUAGAUGCAAGGAGGAAAAUGUCGCGAUAUUAUCGCCGAAAUAUCGUGUGUCGAAGGGUAUCGACACGAUUUUUCUUGCAGAAAUAUCGGCCAGUCGAUUUUUCGGGAUAAAUCUCGAGAAAUCGGCAAUUUAUCGCGAUAUAUCGGCGAUUUUUCCUCGAUAUAUCUUCUGGUCAACGCGGGUCAACGGAGUCAACACGCUACAGUGAAAGUCAAAUGUGCUACAAUGUCCCCGCUACAAUCACCUCCCCAAACAAAUUGCCAAAUUGCUUCCGAGGGGAUUUGAACCAGCCUUCUUGCCAUUUGGGCUAACUCGCCCUUAUGAUAUAUAUUGCAUUAAACAUAUAUAUACUUAAAGUCCUUAUAUAAAGAAAAUGUUAAAAAAAUAUUUUAAAGAGCAAAUUAAUUAUAAUUAUUUUAUAAUUAAAAGCAAAAUUUUCUUUUAAUUAAUUACCAAAAAUAUAAAAAUUAUAUAAUUUUCUUCAUAAUGUUUUUAAUAUCAUUAAUAAUUAAUUAAAUAUUAAAAAAUUAUAUAUAUAUAUAUAUAUAUAUAUAUAUAUAUUAUAAUUUAUUUUAUAUUGUUUAAUACAAUUGAAUUAAAUGGAUCAUAUUUUAAUAUUAAUAUAUAUUUUAAAAUUAGACAUAUUGUAAUCAAAUAUCAUAAUAUUAUAUGUAAUUUAAUAAUAAAUGUACACUUAUAAAAUUCAUAUUUUUAUCGAUGCAUACAAUAUUAUUAUCAAAUAUGAUAAAUCAUGUUAUACAUAUAUCAAAAUUUUCAAUAAAAUAACUUUAAAAUGUCUAUUAUACUUCUAAUUAUAUUAUUAUGAGGUUUUCUUUACAUUUUCAUGAGUUUUAAACAAUUUUAAGCACCAAUAUUUUUUUCCAAAAUAUCCACCGAUAUAUCUCCGAUAUAUCCAAUAUAUCUCCGAUAUCUCCGAUAUAUCCGUAAAAUCGAAGUACCGAUAUAUCCGUGAUUACCGAUAUUUUCAUCAUUGCUUAGAUGCAACCUUCUUCCAAAUGACAUACUUUAGUCAAUACUUAUAUUUUUUCGUUUCACUUCUUUGAUACAACACCUCAUGGAUUUAUUGUUUAAUUUAUUUGUAAUUAUAAAACUAUUUUUCAUUUUUAAUAAGACUUGAAUUAAUUUAAUAAAUAUUAUAUAAUUUGAAUUUAUAAUUCUUUUUAUAAAAUCAAAGUAUAUUAAAAAAAAAACAAUUUAUCCGAAGAAAGUUUUUUAUUUUUUAUUUUUUAAAACCGAUUUUAAAAAUAACUAGCUAGACACCCUUAUUUUGAUAAAAUACGAAAUAAAAGUGUAAAAACAACAUGGCCAAAUAGGGGCUUAAAUUUUAUUUUUAAAACAUUUUUUUACACUAAAGUGCAUUUUAAAAACACCAUCAAAACCAACUACAAGUUAUGCUUCUUCCCGUAAUAGAAAUAUUUUAGGCCAAAAUAGAACCUCCCCAAAUAAAGACCCUAUACUAAACUCCUUUUCAUUUUAUUAAUACAAAAGUGGGGAAAAAAGGUCUAUGCUCACCUAAAAAACAUGAAUAUUGUGAAUUCACCAUUUCUAUAAGGAAGUUGAAAACUUCAAAAUUUUAUCAACAAAUUCUCUAAAAUCCUCAAAAUAUAUAGGGCCUGUUUCACAAAGUUUUUUAAAAUUUGUUUUUAUAAAUUGCUUUUAAAAUAUAGAAUAAAUAACAGUUUUUUAGAUUUUUUGAAAAAUAAGAGUGUUUGGUAAGAUGUUUUUUUUUUUUUUUUUUUUUUUAAGAAUUAAAUAAAAAAUAAAAAAAUUGUUUAGAUAAAAGAAUUUGUAUUGUUUUUAAAAACAAUGUCUUACUUUUAUGUUAUAAAAAUUUUAUUAAUUUAAUUUAUAAUAAUAUGAAAUGAAAUUCAAGUUAAGUCUUAUUAAAAAAUACAAAUUAAAUCUAUAAUUAUGCAUGAGUUAAAGAUAAAUAUAUAUUUUUUAAAACUAUAAAAUAAAUUUUCUAUUAUAGUGAAACAAAAAUUACUAUAAAAUAAAAAUAAUUUUAAUAUUCAUUUUUAAUACAAGUCAAAUAAGUACUUUAAUUAAUUUUUUUUAUCAUGAUUUCUUAUGUUUUUUUUUUUUUCUAGAAAUUAUUUUAAGUAAUAUAACUAAUUUUUUUUUUAAUGUUUUAUAAAAAUAAGGAUAUUUGGCAAGUUGUUUUUAUAAAAGGAUUUUAAAAAUAAAUGGAUUUUUUUUUUUUUUAAAAAAAGAACAAAAUGAUUUGUUUGAAUAAAUUGUUUUGAUUUUGUAAAAACAUUUUAAAUUCAAUUUAUAUAAUAUUAAUUAAUUAAAUUAAAUUGAAGUUUUAUUGAAAAUAAAAAUAAUUUUGUAAUUAAAAUUAGAUUAAAAAAUAUAUAGGUUUUAAUAAAUCGUAAAUAGUAAUAUUAUAAUAAAAUUAUAAAUUAUAUUUUUAACAUAAAAUAUACUAUUUAUUACAUAUUAAAAAAAAUAUUUUAUUAUAUUAAUAAUUUUAUGGUAUUAAUGAGUUUAUUAUUUAAGUUUUAAAUUAUUUUUAAAAAUUAAUAAAUUUGUUAACAAAUGCAAUGUACUAAAUGUGGUUUAAUUUGGAGUUAAUUUGUUUAGGGAAAAAAAUAAAAAAUAAAAAUCUUAUGUAAAAGAGAAAUAAUAGAGUGUGUGUGUUUUUUUUUAUUAUUUUUAAAAAUCAGUAAAAAGAACUUUUACUUAUUGCCUAAAAAUUAUUCUCUAUUUUAUUUUAUUUUUUAAAUCUAGAAAUAGAUAACAAUAAUAAAAAAAAUUAAAAAAGAAAAAUGUUUUUUAAAACUCAGACUUAUAAUUGCUUUUGUUUCUCAUUCGCACCCCUGGAUUCCUGGAUUCUAAACACAAAAUUAAGUUGAAUCGUCCAUCUAUCUUGUAAGCCAAGAAUUCACAUAGAAGAAAUAAUCGGAAUUUGAUUUGAUAUCAGAUUUAGAGUGGCUCACUACUCAUGCAUUGUCCCACAAUAGUAAUGCUUUGGGCCGAGAUAAACCCAUUUGUGGGCCCAAAUAAAACCCCUGGUUUGAAAACAUCGAUUUUACAGUGGCCCAAAAGAUUAUCUAUGAGGGGAAGAUAACUUGGAAGUCAAGCAAACACAUUUAUCGCUAACUUUUCUCUAAUUAUAAAAUUAUAACUUGGUCUUCUACACGUCUCACUUAAGAGGCGGAGCCACUUGGCACUACCUUUCCAUAUUGUAAAAGGAGAAGAAGCAGAAGGAGAAGAUUCUUAUGCCAUUCCACACACCAUGGCUAGUACUGCUAUGCUGCUUGGCCCGCCGGCUCUCCGCCAUCCUAAUUCUCCCGCCGGCACUGUCUUUGAAGAUGGGGUCAUUCUAACGGAUUCCCUGAUCGUCCGCACCAGUAAUCUGGAGCUUUCUGAAAAACCGCCACUGGAAUCCCUGGCGUAGUGCUCUGUCAGUGGGGAUAUUGCUAUGGAUUGUUUGGAUUCCCAAGCCCACAAUCUUCAUCUUCCCGGGAAACCGCCGAUGGGCUUAACGGAAAACAAGUCUCCGACCUUUUUGUCUUCCGGGAACCCGUGCUUGGACUUCUUCUUCCAUGUGGUUCCCGAUACGUCGUCUGAUGAUCUGAUCCGACGGUUUGAGUUGGCUUGGGAAUUCAAUCCGCUGACGACGUUAAAACUGAUAUGCAACUUGAGAGAGGUGAGAGGCACCGGAAAAUCUGACAAAGAGGGUUUCUACACGGCGGUUCUCUGGCUCCACGACCACCAUCCCAAAACCCUAGCCUGCAAUGCUAGGGUGUUGGCCAGCUUCGGUUAUUUCAAGGAUUUUCUCGAGAUUCUCUACCGGCUUCUGGAGGGCCCUAAAAUUCGAAGAAUCGAAAAGAAAGACUGGCUGGAUCGAAAAGGAAGGAAGAAAAAUUCCCGGAAAAGGAACUCAAUAUUCAAGCGAGAAAAUAGGCCUGGAGUUGAAUUUCCUGUAGAAGAGAAGGAUGUGGAGUAUAUGGUGGAAGAAUUUGUGGAUAAAGAAAAGGCUAGGGUACUGAGAAAGGAGAGAGAACUUGCUCUUGCCAAAAGAGCCCUGCACAAGUAUUCUACUGAUUCUAAUUAUCAGUUCUUACAUGAUCAGAUUUCAGAUUUAUUUGCUGAACUUCUGAAAUCUGAUAUUCAGUAUUUAAACUCCGGUGAGCUUUACAAGAUUAGUCUCGCAUCCAAAUGGUGUCCCACAAUUGAUUCUUCUUAUGAUAAAUCCACCUUGAUAUGUGAAAAUAUUGCUCGAAAGGUUUAUUCUCGCGAGGAAUAUAUAUCCAGAAUACCAAGGAAUUGAGGAGGCUCACUAUGUUAAUAGAGUCAGGGAUAGGUUGAGAAAACAAGUACUUGUUCCAUUACGUAAGGCCCUGGAGUUGCCAGAGGUUUUCAUGUGUUCGAACCAGUGGGGAUCACUUCCCUACAACCGUGUGGCUUCAGUGGCCAUGAAAUCAUACAAGAGCCUCUUCUCAAAACAUGAUACAGAGCGGUUUGGUGUGUAUCUUGAGAAAGUGCAAACUGGGAAGGCUAAGAUUGCAGCUGGUGCAUUACUUCCCCAUGAGAUUAUAGCUUCAUUGAAUGAGGAGGAUGGCGAGAAAGUUGCAGAGCUUCAGUGGGCGAGAAUGGUGGAAGAUUUAUCAAAGAAUGGGAGGCUCACAAAUUGCAGUGCGGUAUGUGACGUAUCAGGAAGUAUGAGUGGAACUCCAAUGAAGGUGUGUGUGGCUCUGGGGCUGUUAGUUUCAGAGCUCAGUGAAGAUCCAUGGAAAGGUAAUGUAAUUACUUUCAGUGCAAGUCCUGAGCUUCACAAGAUCCAAGGAGACAGCCUUGUAUCCAAGACUGAAUUUGUGAGGAUGAUGGAAUGGGGUGCGAACACUGAUUUUCAGAAAGUUUUUGACAGAAUCUUACAAGUAGCAGUGGAGGGAAAUCUGAGUGAAGAUCAAAUGAUAAAGAGGGUUUUCGUUUUCACUGAUAUGGAGUUUGAUGAAGCUUGUGGGAGGUAUAACUAUUGUGAAUAUGACUAUGAUAUGGAGGAAAUUGAUGAGAGUCAGAAGGCAUCUCAGAAGUGGGAGACAGAUUAUGAAGUGAUACAGCGGAAAUUCCAGGACAAAGGAUAUGGAAAAGUUCCGGAGAUAGUGUUUUGGAACCUUAGAAACUCAUCAGAGACUCCAGUGAUGGCCACAGAGAACGGGGUGGCCUUAGUAAGCGGGUUUUCGAAGAAUCUGUUAGACCUUGUUUUUGGAAGGAGGUGGAAUUCUGACCCCUCAGGAUGUGAUGGAAUUAGCCAUCUCUGGUGAAGAUUACAAGAAACUUGUUCUAUUUGAUUAAGAUAUCAAGAGAUUUAUCAAUAAUAAUAUGUUUUUUUUUUUCUAUGUGAAAUACAUGUAAUAUUAACUAUGGAGUUAUCAAAGUUCUGGAAAUUUAAUUAUUUCUUCUUUUCAAGUUUUGUUUGUCUUUGUUAGGAAUUCCCCUUGGGCGGACCCAGCUGGGGACUUGGAUUGAGGAAGUAAGGAGGCGAAAUUGUGUUCUUCUAUGGACAGAGAAAAAAGAUAAAAAUAAAAAAUAAAAAAGGAGGUUAUUUGCAUUUGGAUGUCAUGUGGUUUCAGGGUACAACUACAAGUUCGAAAUUGUACAUAAUGUGAAAAUUCCUGUGUGGAGAACAGCAUAAAUAUGUAUCUCAGUGUGUUUUGUUUGAGCUAAUUGGCAAAUUCGCUUUAAACAUGGUCACAUGGAUGCAUAUUUAUUUGUGAAAUGAUAGUAGUCGAUUACUUGGUCAGUAAGGUUUGUAUCUCUAACUCCAACAUCUUAUUGUAGUCUUUUAAAAUGUCAAAAGUUUAAUGCUAGCUUGAGAAAUUUUGGAAUGGAGACAUUCUAAACAAAGUUAAUAAUCCAUGAGACUUGGUAAAACCGAUCAGAUGAUGCUUACGUACAUGAAUGCCUUCUUUAAGCCGUAUCCUAUUUUCAUUGAAUGAGACGUGCCAUCUAGUUUUGUUCUUGUCUUGAUUGGAUCAUGAUCCCGGGAAUUGAUUACUGUUCUGAAUUUGCGAAUGUUCAAGGUAUUAGAGAAAGUUAAUAUUAUCGUUAAUUUACAUAUUAGUAUUUAUCUAGUUAUUAUAUAUUAGUUUGAAUUAUAAUAUAAUAUAGAAUUUGAAUCAAGUUUACUAUUAGUUUGAAUUACAAUAGGAAAUAAAGUUUGAAUUAUAGUAUAACUCAAAUAUAUUUGUAUAUAAAUAUCCAUCUUUAUCAAUGAGAAUAGUAAACCAUAUUUUUCUCUAUCUUCUUCUUUCUCUAUAUAUAUGGUAUCAAAGCCUCCAAAUCCUAAACCUAGUCUCAACUUAGAGCAAAUUUAGGGUGCAGGGUUUAGGCCCCGCCUCCCCCAACCCUUACCACAAAUGGUAGUGACCUUGUUAUGCCUAUGUAUUGUCAAUGCCUCAUUUUCUAUGGUCUUCAAUACAAUAUCUAGUUUCAAUGUCUCUUUCCUUACUAUCUCCAAUGCAAUAUAUUGAUUUCAAUAUCUCUUUACAACCAAGAGCUCCAAAUUUUCCUGGUUCAAAUCUACCAUAAUUUUUAUUCUCCUUUGCUUUUUACCAAUAUUAGUUCCCCUAAUUUAAUAUAUAUCUCUUUAUUACCUUCAACUCUACCUCUCUCUUUCUUUAAAAGCUUCCUCAAAGAUUUGAUUGCUUUCUUGCAUGUUUUGGGAAAACAAACAUGCUCAUAUUCUAUUACCUCUACUUGAGAUCUGCCUUAUACUCUACCUUCUUCUUUACCUCCUAUAUCAUCUACUACAUUAGCUUCAAAAACAUUAUUUAGUUUGAUGCUAAAUAAGGCUCCUAAUCCUACCCUUCCUUCAACUAACUUUCUUUUACAAGUCCCUCAAAGUUUUUUUUUUUUUUUUUUUGGAAAUUUGGCUUAGAAAGAUUUCAUUACUCUUACCUAAUCUUUCAACCAUCAAGUCGAAUCCACUUAUCUCUUGAAUCCAAGGAGACUACCCUCCACAAAAACAAGGAGAUUGACCCCCACAAUAACAAAGAGAUUGUCCUCCAUAGAAACAAAGAGAGCUUCCUUCAUGGAAGCCGAAUACAUCGCAAUCUAUUUUCUUUCUCUCAAGAUCAAAUCUCCAAUCGGAGCUCCAUCUUGUGGGGAUAUAUUAGAAAAAGUUAAUAUUAUCCUUAAUUUACAUAUUAGUAUUUAUCUAUAUUAUAUAUUGAAUUAGAAUAGAAUAUAGAAUUUGAAUUAAGUUUACUAUUAGUUUAAAUUACAAUAGGAAAUAGAGUUUGAAUUAUAGUAGAACUCAAAUAUAUUUAUAUAUAAAUAUCCAUCAUUAUCAAUGAGAAUAGUAUUCCAUAUUUUUCUCUUUCCCUGAGGCUUCAGAAUGUGAUCUUGAACAUUUGAUCUUUUGGAUUCUUCUUGUUUCGGUGGUUUAAUAUAAUGGAAUGUUUAAUUAUAGCCUACUUUAUCACCAUGGAUGUGCUCCUGCAGAUUUCUUGAGGGUGAUGGUUAUUUUGUCAUGUUUCUUGAAUGGUUUGCAUCAGCUGCCUGAGCUGUUGUUGCUGGUCACUUUUGCAACCAGGGAAAGAAUCAUGGCUUUGGAGAAGCCAGCUUCUGUUUUUGUUGCCCAGCUGUUAGUUCACUAAGAUUGGGGGUCCUAACAUGUAUGUAUAAUCAUAAGCAAGGAAAUUUUAUGUCUUACGCUAGAUAGGUACCAUGAUAUGAUGUUUGAUUGAUUUAUUAACUCUACCUGUUUCAAAAGGCAUCAACAUUAAUUUUACCCUUUUAACACAUUGGAUUGUUUGACCUUACGAGAUUUUCUAUUUCUGUACUAUUUGAACUGCAAUCGUUAUGGUCCUUAGGUCUCUAAACCUUCGUUUAAAAUAAAAGUAAGGAGCACACAUAGUAAAAGUUAAUUUUGGGUAACUUUUAAAACAAAGAGAAAAGUAAAAGUUGUUUUUGAGAAAAACAUAUAGAAAUUGAAAGAUUUUUUAUUUUGAGAAAAAAAAGUCAUAGAAAAGAAAUAAUAUCCCCAUAUAAGUAGAUAUGAUCUAUCCGAAGUGUAGCUACUCUCCUGGAUUUAUUCUAACAUUUUAAAAUUUUUCUCAAUGGGCAAAGGAAUAUCAAAUCAAGCUUGAGUAGGAUUAAUUUCUUAAUUUUUAAAAUAACUUAUAAUUAAAAUUUUUUGGUGUUUUCUUUUUUGGACAAUUUUUUAUGAAGACUCUGAAUCAUGCAAGAGAUAUGGUUAUUUUAAAAAAAAAAAUAAUUUAAAACUCAAAUACAUAAUCAAUGUCACAAAUUUAUAAACAAAAGGUUUUUAAAAAAUACUAUUAUUUCCCCUCUACACAUAAUUUUACUUUUCCGAUUUAUUUAUUUUUGUUGGAAAACAGUCUUCAAAUCAAGUAAAAUUAAUAUGUUAAAUUUGUUAAACAAAUAAAUUUUAAAAUACAAUUUGGAACUCAAAAAUCAAUUCAAGUAAUGCUAAAAUUCAAAAAAUCAAAUUUGGAAUAAAAUGACUUUGUAAAUUUUUUUACUAAACAAAUGAAUUUUAAAUCAAGUGAGAUUUAAUACAUUGGAUUUUUAUGAGAAUAGUAAUUUUAAAAAUUAAUUUGGAACUCAAAAAUAGACACAAUAAAUACCAAAAAUCAAUGAACCAAAAUUGGUUUGGAAUAACUCCAUAAUUUUUUAUUUAUUUAUAUAUUUAUUUUUUUGUGCACACGAAUUUCUUACUAAGCAUAUUGCUUCCAAAUUGAGAAAAAUUUACUAUUUAGAUUUUUUUAAUGAGUUUAAUGGUAUUUAAAAAUAAUUCAAAAAUUCGAAAAUUGACUAAUUUAAUAUUAUAAAUUCAUAAACCAAGACUAAUUCAAAAUGCAUUGGGGGCUAAGGGGGUUGAAAUUAAUGCUCCAUUUGGUUGUGGCCACCAAUUGGCAAUGGCCACCAAUCAACCAAUCAAGGUGGCUAAGGGGGUUGAAAAUAGGGACAAUGGGGUGGGUUUGGGACAGGACACUCAUAUCCCAUUCCCAUCCCAAUUACACAGUUAUUUCCCAUCCUUAUUCCAAACUUGUGUUGGGGCAAGUUGAUUUGUUCCCAUCUUUGUUAACGAAAUGACUAAUAACCUCAUCCUCUCCUUGUCUUAGAUGUACAUUUUCUCAAAUUUGGUCAGGUAUGAUUGAUUCAAGCCCUAACCUUAAUUGGUAAUGAGUGGAUACCACACCUAAUUGCAUUCUUCUUUCGUUGCAAAAUAAUGAGAUUAUAAUAAUCUAGCAAAUAAGAAAAAAUAGUAUGGAAGUUCAAAUUAACACCAUAACUAUCAAUAAUUUUAAGCUUAUAGAUGACUUAAAUGAUUGAAAACUAAUGCAAAAUACUAAAAAAAAAAAAAAUCAUCUAAAGAAUUCACAAGAGAAUAGAACGAACAAAACCAAAUAGGAACAUGGGUCAACAUUAGUUACAGAUUUUGAUCCCUUUCAAGGCCAAUCUUUGAACCAAGACUUCAUCAAAUCUACUACUUCAAAGGCUUUUGUGUUCUUCUUGAGUUGUACUCUGGAACAAAGACUUCGAGGUGAUGCUUUAGAUGAUUGCAUUACACAUAUUUAGGGUAGGGAGAUUGGAGAAGCUUGAAGAUGCCAACGAUGGGUACAAUUGAGUGGUCAAUAAGAACAAUGUGGCCUAUGACUAGUUUGAUGUCAUGGUAUAGGAGUUUUGGGCAUUGAGGUGAAAGCAAGAGCAACAUGGAAUUGAUUUCAAAGUCUUUCAAUUAGUGUAAAGGAGGAAGAAGAAGUGGUAUUGAUCCUAGAAAUAGUGUUUUAGGUGUUGCAUUAGAGGAAAAGAAAAAGAAAAAGAAGGAACCAUUGGAAUUAGUACGAGUGUGAAGAGAGAAGUGUAUACAUAAGGGGAAGUAAAAGCAAAGUUCUAAAAAUUUAUUUUUUUAUUGGUGGUGUAUGGUUGCAUGAUUAUCCCUAUAAAUAAUAGGAGUUUUUUGGUGUUCUACUAGUAGUUGAAGGAUAAUUUCAUAAGAUAAUAUUUAGAGCGGGGUGGGGUGAGUUGUGACAAAAUCCAUACCCGUCCCAAACAUUGGUUCAGGUUUUUAAAAUAUUUUCAAACUUAUCAUAUACCCAAUUUUAUAUUUCAUACUUGUCCUAAUAGAGACAGGUUAGUCAGGGUUACUUGAGUAGCCUACAAAACUAUCAUCCCUAGUUGAAAUGCUCUUUUUGGCAGUGGCAGCUAGAAGCUCGAUCGAUUGACCUACAAGACUAGUUGUCAUCAUUUUAAAAAGAGUUUUGGCUUUGGUUGUGAGUGCAAUUGAAUCUAAACUAACAUUUCCUUAAUGCAUCUACUUCAAUCCUAAACUUCUUACUUAAGCCUCAAUUGUUGUUAAGAUUUUGGAAAACCCAUUUCCUUAAAUUGUAAAUUUAAGAAAAAAAAAAUUAAAAGUGAGACAUUUCUUGAUUGAAUGUUGUUAAAGGUCCCUUGGAAUUAAGACUUGGUUGAAGCCUUGGAAGAUUAGCAGAACUCUCAACUUAUGUUUGAACCUUGAGGAGAGUGGACGUAGGCCAAAAUUUUGUCAAACCAUUAUACAAAUUGAGUUUGAAUUCUCAUUUCUUGAUUUCUUAUUUAUUUGCUUUUUCUUAUUAUUACUUGAAUUGUCAUUUGCAUUCAUUAAUGUUAAAAUUGGUUAUAAUUAGCCAACACUAAUUCUCUUUCCCCUUCCCUUAAUUUCUUGGGUGUAAACCUAGGUUGGAUUAACUAGAUUUUAUCAAAUCUAUUAAGAUGGUAAAAGAAUAAUUAUUCUUAACAUACAUAAGAUCAUCUUCAAUCAAAUGACUCAUUGGCUGAUAUGUUGAAUUUGCUUAUUACUUGCAACUCAAAAUUGUGUUCUAGUUGAUAUGUCAAGUCCUGAGUGUAUGGACAUUAAAUUUGUAGUACGUGAUGAGUAUUUAGAUGGUCCAAUUCCAAGAAAGUGAUUGAAAACUAGUUCAAGAAAGGUGCAAAAGGGAAUUGUUUUGGUAUUUUCGUUUUUAUUCUUGAAGGUGGCAGAGCUAAAAUUUGAGAAAUCAAGCAAAACAUACUGAAAUUACAUUGAAAGAAAGAAAAUGGGAGUUAAUGUCUUGCAGUACAUGAUAAGGACUUCAUGCAUGUAGUGUGACCCAUGUCUUGGACUGAUGCCACACUCACGGUUACACUUAUACCCUUAGUUCUCUCUUUACUACCUUAGCUAACCUAGAUCAGGUUAUGAGAUAGGCACCUCACCACACCAUUACUUGCCCAUUAAUUAGUGACAUUUUCAAGCAAUGAGGUAACAUGGUGACACCAAGAGGGUAUAUUCCUCACCCCCAACAAGCCUAGACCUGGUCUAAAAAAAAUGGAGAAAAAUGACGUGUUGUUAUGCAGAAAUAUAGCAACCAUGCCUUCCUCAUUACUUAGAUUCAGAAUGUGAAGGUGAAAUUGAGAAACAGAAACUCUUGAAACCAAAAUGAAAAUUGAUACUUUUACGAAGAAUUACAACAACAUUAGAGGAAGACUACAUUCUUCCUCUUUAUUCCUACAUUUCUACACUACUUCUACUCCACUCCAUAUUUCUACAUACAUCUUUAAUCAGUCUUCCCUCCUUUAUAUAGAGCCAUCUUCACACAAAUUCCGCAAGGUAGAAAAGAGGAAUGAAACUUGGAGCAAGGUUCGACUACUGGCUGUAGCUUGUCAAGGCUGAAAGUGAACUUUUUUUCUUGGCUUUUCUGGGCAUAGGUAGUAACUUGUAGGUUCCUUUUUGGAAUGAAAAUGGUACGGCUAGAACAUGUGGCACUCUCUUGUUGGAUGAUGUGUCAAGCAUGUGGCAGCCAUCUAGUGGAGAUUAUGUCAAUUUUGGGAUGGAGAGUUGGCAUCCAAUUGCAAAGAAAUAUGACAUCUACCAACAUGCAAUGUCAACCUAUGUAGAUCAUAUGAAGAUAGAGAGGAAAAAUAUAGAAAUGGAUAUAUAACUAGAACUAGCUUUUUAUUAAAUGAGACGGAGAGCCAACAAUGAAGGAAAAUCAAAAUUUUUGGCUCAUAUCAAAGAAUUCACAUUGUGUUACCCUAGGUUUUCUUAAAACUUACUUUUAUGAUAAUAAAAAAUCAUUAUUGUUUAAUCCUUUGUUUUAAACGCAUGUUUAGCAGGUUGUAAAAUGUAAAUAUCUUUCGAAAUUCAAAUAUGAAGAUAUGACAUCAUUUCAAGCAAUAUAGUCUCUAGGAAUUAAUGUAAAGCUAAAUUAAGGUGCAAUUAAGUUAGUUCAAUGCAUUAUUUUAAGAAACUUGACCUAUCAAAACCUUGUCUUACUUCAAAGCCUCUUUUUCUUUUCUUCCAACUAACAUUUUAAUAAGUGAUCGCAAAAGUACAAAAUUAGAUGAAAUCCAUUUCAAUGGUUAAAAUGAUCAAAUUCAAACUUUUUCUAAGUAUCUUUUAAAAGCAUCAAUAUUGAAAGACAAUUUUAUAUUUAGUCAAAGCUUGGACAGAGCCAAAAAGCACACAAAAAUUUAUAUUUUCUAGCUCUCUACCUUGGAUGGUCUCUUGAUCCUACUUGGAGAUGUGCAUAAAUAAAAGGAUUUGAAAAUGACAAUUGACUAAGUAUGUAGUCAAUCAAUUACUCAUUGAUUGACUAGUUGAUCAAUUAACUUUGCAACAUCAUAUGCAAUCCUAAUAGCUAGUCAUCUAAUCAACUAGGUAGUAAAUCAAUAGGCCAAAAAUAUGUUUAUAAUGACUAUUUUGUACAAAAACCACUUAUAUAGUUAAAUAUAAUGCAUUUCAUUUAUAAAUCUUCUAAUUCUUGAAUAACAAUCCUAUCAUCCUUUGAAAGUUUUUAUUACACCUUUUCUACAUUUGUUCUAAAACUUAUACAUCACCCUUAAUUGUACCAUGAGAACCUAGCAUUUUUUUUUUUUUUUUUGUAUUUCAUCAAAGUUAGCUCUUGUACUCAUUGUUGUAUUAUUUUUAUUGUAACUUAGAGAGCGAGUGUUUUCAAGUGAGUGAAAUUGACUUGUAAAUAUUGUAAAGAUUCAUUGAUAUGUAUCUCAAACUAGGUGUACAAGUUGAAACAUUUGCUAGUAGAUUUUCUCAAGAUUUAGAAUGAGCUUAAGGCUAUCGAAUUAGGUGGGGUUGCGCCAAACCAUAUCACAUCGUUGUUUGCACCUUUUUUUUCACUCUCUUUUACUUAGUUGCUCUAUAUAUAUUGUCUAGCAAUAUCCUAAAGGCUUGAUGGGCUAGGGAGCAUCCCUCUGAAUGAAAAAUUUUCAUUCAAUUCUUAGUUGUAUUACGCAUAUAUAAAAUGCCUCAUUGUUUUAAUGGUAUUCAGUCGUGGCACCACAGAUAUGGACAUCUAAAUUUUAAAAGUUUGAAACUUUUAGCUAAAGAAAAUAUGGUGCUUUGCCUUUUUGGAAAGCAUGUUGAUGAAAUCCAUGAGAAUUGUAUACUUGGAGAGCAACAUCGAGAUAACUUUUUUUUUUUCUUUUUUUAUAAUGCAUUGUUUGUCCAAAUUCCGUACAAAUUAGGCCACCACAUGUUCAUAAUUCUCCCUUCUUGAAUUUGAAAACUCGGACAAUUUGACAAUGCGACACCUAAGUCCGGUUUUUAAAUGCUAAAGUGAAAGGGCAGGUAUGGACCAUUGAAAUGUGAUAACAACUUUUGGCCUUUUCCUUUUCUCUGUAGCCAUGUUGUCUCUUUUUAAUUUCUUUUGCAUGAUUUUCUUACCUAAACAGAAUCAUAGACUUGUUUAAUCUCUAAGUGGGAUUUCAUCCACCUUAAGCUACUGUAUUAUAUCUCGGUGGAGGACAACCGACAUAGAGCACAUGCAAGUGGGUAUAUGGGACAUGAAAUAUCUUCUUAUAAAGCUUGUUUUGCAGUUAAAUUAAUUGGAUAAGUAGACACUGGCGUUUCUAAAUUUCCCACCUAAGAUAAUGACCUUAUCCUUGACUGCUAGAUACACAAACAAUUAUACCUUCAAAAUCUACUGUGAAGUGCUUCAUGUAUGUGUGAAGUAUUAGAAAUUUCUUUCUUGGCAACUUGUUUUUUUCUUUGCGGUCUACUGAUAGGUUUGACUAAAAUUAUAUUCCCUGUCCUGCUAAUUAAUUUUCACGUGCAUGCUCAAAAGAAGAGUAUGACCUUAGUGCACCAAAAUCACUUUCAAUAAUUUGUGAUAAGUUUUUUUGCAUGACAUUAACCUUAUUCAUUUAGAUAAUGUUUAGUUCUCAUAAAUAUUAAGAAAAUGAAAAUAAAUAUUAAGAAAAAUAUUCUUAUAUUUGAUUGUAUUAUGAAAAAUAUCAUAAAAAAUCAAAUAUAAUUAAAAUUAAUUAAUAAUUUAUAUAUUUUAAAAUUAUUUAAUUUUUAUAUUAAAGAUAUAAUAUAAAUGAAAUGAGUUUUAAGUAUUAUAUAAAAAUGAUUUAUUUAUUUAUUUAUAUAUAUAUAUAUAUAUAUAUUUAGUUUUUCUCUUUAUUUUAUUUUCCUUAUGUUUUCCUCACAUUUUCCGGAAUCAAAGAUAGGGAAAUCCACAAUUACCUUCAACUGAGUAGAUUCUAUUGUUUUAGCAAUGUUAGGCUGCUAACUUGUGGUGGUACGAACCAAAUGAUCCAUGUUAAUCUUGGCUUGAUUUAAUUUGGCUCUAUCUCAGAGAACUCAAGGAUCACGUCAACUCUGGUUUCUACUAUUCAGGUCCAUUCCCAGAUGAACUGGUUCAAAUUUGAGAAAAUGGUAACAGACCUUUAGUGAUAUUGGUUUGGAGCCAGUUGCCAAACCUGCCCUGAGCUUUACCACUAAUGUCAAGGGACAAAGCCAUUUGAACAAAAACAAUAGCUUCAAGAGACUGAAUCGUGGAUGAAAUCUGAUCCACAUUUCUUCUCAUUUUGGGAAAAAAUGAGGACUUAACCACAAAGAUUCUACUGCCUCAUAGUGCUUUUCCUGAUCUAAGGUUGGCUCGUUUCCCAAAUUGUGAGGUGCACGUGCCACUCUCACGCUCAGGAGUGUAUCCACGUGGUGGACAUAAGAUGGUGGCUUAAUAUCUGGUGUCGGUGGCUUUACUUUACUAGGAGAGUAGUGUGUCUUCAUCUCAUUCACUGCCAGAGGGUGGCGUAAGCAGUGACGCUAAGGUGGGGCACAGUCAAUAUCAUUUGCAUUUGACCAUUAUAAUUUUCUCCCGGCUUUAAAGUAACCUUAUCGUGAUAAUGGAUUACUAGCACUAGUUCAGAUGACAGUCAUGUUAAAUUCGGACCAUGUUUGUGUCACAUUAUCAGCAACCAUGUGCUUGUGGUUCAUGCUAUCUGCAACUAAACUUGAUAUAUAACCAGGUGAACUUCAAUCUAAAUUCUGGAAGUACUCAUGUGAUAGAUGGUGCCUGUCUGCAGUGAGUGUAUCUAUAAGAGGGAAGGCUUGGCAAAUGUUCAGUUUUCUGGGAAUUCAACAGGGAUCUAAAAUAGAUUGUUUUCUUUGCUGAUUUCAAUGGUUGAAAUUUGAGAAGAUUGUGUCCACAUAACACAACUAUUACUGGUCCUUCUGUUGCAAUUUAUCCUCUAAGGCUCUAACAUGUCUUCCAAUUCCCACUUCCCACUUCCCUGUUACUCCAGGAAAGCUGUUUCUGUCAUUGUGAAGAAGAAAAGAGACUGUACAUAUCGAUGCUUUUAAGUGGACUGGAGAAUUCAUAUCAGGUGGUCUGCAGCCAUACAUGCCACUUUGUGAAGGUUGGAACAGUCAAUCACUAGGCUAUAUUAGUGGGGCCCAGCCACUUCAAUCAAGGACAAGUCUUCAUACUUAAAGUCAAAUUCUGCCUUUAGUCUCAUUAUAAAUUGCUGUUUAAAUAUCAAGCAAACAUUUGUUUAAUGCGAUUAAGACAGCACUAACUCAAUACUUGUUCUAUUUUUGGAUGCAAAUGCUUGAUAGUUUCAUCAUUGGAGGGGAUAAAGGUGCAUUCAUGAUUAUGAAUACUUGUAGUUAUAUUUUCAUUCUCUUUUUUCUCAAUGGGACUUGUUGGCACAAUUUUGCUGUUCAGAAACCUACCUCUCCAUGGAAAAUCAGUUGUGAUUGAUAUUACUGGAUAUAUUCAAGAAAGCUAAAUGUAGAUAGCACAAAAUAUUAUCGACAUAAAUAGCAUUAACAGCGUACGUAUGUCUCAAUGCUCAUCAGCUAUAAGCAAGGGGCAAACACUUACUAUGAGCAACUUACGUCAAAAUUCCGGAAUAGGACAUAGAAGUGACAGGUCAGUAAAUAUAGAACACUGCAUAUGAGUCACAAGAAAGGAAAUUACGGGUACAUAGCAGCUCUUAUUUUACAUCCUACUCAUACUGAUCAAAGUCACUCAGUUGGGAUGGGUGGGAGUGGGAGGUUUGUGGGGUGGCUUGUGCGGAGGAGUUGGCAGCUUCUUUCCAGGACCUGGUUGCUUCUCUGCUGGAGUUGAAGGAGGCUUAAUCUUCCGAGGUGGCUUGUAUGAGUCUUCAGCAUUCUCAGCAGGAGGGUGACCAGGGUUGUGACCACAAUGUGGUGGCUUCUCUCCCUUAGGUGGUUUGCCAACUGGGGUUGGUGGCUUGUGUUCCGGAAGUGGCUUCUCUUUGUGUUCAGGAGGUGGCUUCUCCACUGGAGGCUUGUGUUCAGGAGGUGGCUUCUCCACCGGAGGCUUGUGUUCAGGAGGUGGCUUCUCCACCGGAGGCUUGUGUUCAGGAGGUGGCUUCUCCACCGGAGGCUUAUGCUCUGGUGGUGGCUUCUCCACCGGAGGCUUAUGCUCUGGUGGUGGCUUCUCCACCGGAGGCUUAUGCAAUGGUGGUGGCUUCUCCACCGGAGGCUUGUGUUCAGGAGGUGGCUUCUCUACCGGAGGCUUAUGCUCUGGUGGUGGCUUCUCCACCGGAGGCUUAUGCUCUGGUGGUGGCUUCUCCACCGGAGGCUUGUGUUCAGGAGGUGGCUUCUCCACCGGAGGCUUGUGUUCAGGAGGUGGCUUCUCCACCGGAGGCUUGUGCUCUGGUGGUGGCUUCUCCACCGGAGGCUUAUGCUCUGGUGGUGGCUUCUCCACCGGAGGCUUGUGUUCAGGAGGUGGCUUCUCCACCGGAGGCUUAUGCUCUGGUGGUGGCUUCUCCACCGGAGGCUUGUGUUCAGGAGGUGGCUUCUCCACCGGAGGCUUAUGCUCUGGUGGUGGCUUCUCCACAGGAGGCUUGUGUUCAGGAGGUGGCUUCUCCACCGGAGGCUUAUGCUCUGGUGGUGGCUUCUCGAAUGGGGGAUGCGUAGGGUAAUCAGCUAGUGAGGGGGCGGUGAGAACCACCAGGCCAAGCAACACUACUAGCAAGUAUGUAGGAGACAUCUUUGGGUUUGGGCUCAGAUGGUGCAAAACUAGGAGAAUUGGCUAGCCUUUUAUAGCGGAUCGUACCCAAUAAUGAAAUGACACGUGUCAUUAUGACCCAUGUGUCAUGUGGUCGAUUUGGGUCCUACAGUGUUGAAAACUUCGACAUCCACUUUUUUGGCCUUUUGCUUUCUCUACAGUCGCCUUGCUUUUUCCCUCUUUUCUUUUGUUUUCCUCCUGCCCCAUUCUAUCAACUAAUCACAAUUAUGUAGUUGUUUAAUUCUUAAAUGAGAUAUUAUCCGUCAAUCAUAUUAUCUUUUAUCAAGAGAGAACGGAGUGAAAAGUGGCAAUCCAAAGAAAGAAGAUCCAUAAUGCAGCUGUAAUUUUAUCGUUUACUUUUAUCUCUAGGACCACUGCAUUUUUGUUGAGAGGUGCAAUAAUACACGUCUUUAUCUGCCAUUCAAUGUUUACAGUAAAGAGAGGGCACAAAACUCUUCACUGCUCUGCAUGUGCCCCAAAAAUGCAAUUGGACAAAUUAUGAUUUGCAUGCUAAAAAGAGGCAAAUGAGGUUAAUUAGCACCAAAAUUAUUUUGUUUUCUGGACACCCCGGGGCCCUUUGGUUGGUUUGGGGGUCAGAAAAUGAACAUCAUAGGGGGUUUUUCCCUAAUGUGCAUUUGCAUUUGUAUCUGAUGGCUUUAACUCGCCUUGUUACUACAAAGAAAUUGUCACAGAUAGGAACUUAUUCCAGGCUGAGUAUCUCCGCAUGGACCCUAUAAAAGAAGACAAGUCAUAAUGAACAUCUAACCUUUGUUCAAUUUGAUUCAAUGCCCCUAUUGUGUCCAUCUCACAAAUCUGAAUUAUUAUAUCCAUUGAAUACAUAAAUUAAUGAAGAAAAUAUGAAACCCAAGAUACAUCUCUGCACAACCUCAACCCUGGUUGCUAUGUUUCACUUCUAUUCACAUGAGGAUAUUGAUUACGGAAUAAGGAAACCUAGCAAGGGUUUACUCGGCUCUGGUUUGAUGCUAAUUGCCAAACUUGCAACAAGCCCUGAGUUUGACACCUAAUCGAUGGGCGAAUUAAAAGUCUCCUCCAAACAUAUAUUCCACAGCUUGAAGCUCACAGAAGAUGCUAUACAGGCAGGGAAAAACCUUCAGAGUUAGCUACCAAAGAUAAUUAUCAAGGAGAUAUCACCAAGAGAAUUCCAUGGAGUCUGAAUCAAAGACAAAUUGCUCGCUCGUGGGGGUUCUUACUUAAUUUCUUUUGGGUAUAACUCACUGAGGGCACUGGCUUUGUUAUUUGCAUUUCGCAUUUAGAGUUCUGUUCUGGAAGGUUUGUUCUGGAAACAUAUAAAAGGAGCAUCAUUUUGUUCUAGGGUAACCCAUAGUUGUGAGUGGGUCCAUUUGCAUGCUACUUAGUUGAAAAGUUGGACAAUUUGCUCCGACGCCUACCUCCUGGAUUCCAUGCUCGGAUAAAGCAAGAAUAAUAAAAUAUUUAUAAUUUACAAAUGGGGGAAAGAAAAAAAUGUCAACAACAAACUAGGAAAAAAGAGUAGUAAAAUUUAUGCCACAUGCUAUUGAUAGAAGGGGCAUGUAUUAGAUCCAUCACCAUUUGGUAAGAUUUUAGUAUUAUAUUUUUCAAGGUUCAUUAUUUGAGGGUGUGUUCUUCAUCUCUGUUGCAUUGCUUCUUACUAGGCCCACUGAGGUGGGUUCUUCACCUUUUGUAUAUUCUCUGCACUAGAUCAAUGAGAAAGGGGGAAUUUUGGUGAAUUUGCAGCCGUUGGAUGAUUGAUUCUAGGCUCAGUCCACCAAUGAUGCUCUCUUCACUCUUUCUCAUCUAGUGUCAUUCACAACUAUGUUUUGAUUCAUAUUUGUACUAUCAAAGAUAUCUCAUUAUUCUAGCUCAUUAGGUAGAGUUCCUAAUCUUCCUCCUUUUUGGUCUAUGGACAGUAUUGGCUUCAUAUUAAGAUCAUGUUUCAAUAAUUGCACAUUAAUGAAUGGAUCAUGACCCACAUAAACAGAGUCAGGGUUGAGUCAGUGAACCCUAAAAUUUCACAAUUCUAAAUUUGGGUUCUUUAACAAUGCAGGGUCAAGGACGCGUGGUGAUGAAGGAAAGCUGGUAAGCUCAGUGUUACUUCAAUUCCUGCCAUGUAGGAUGGUGAGGAGAUAUUCACUAUGCAAUUAAUAAUAGACAAUAUUCACUAUGCAAUAAUAAAGCAUAAAUUAAGUUGAAUGAAAAGCAUUUUCUUUGCAAGGAGUUGAUUUUGGUUUCAUAGUUUGUUCAACUGCUAUUUUGGAUAGGAAAGUGUGAGGAGAAGAAAAUAAAAAAUAAAAAUAAAACAAAAAAUAAAAAAUAGAUUUUAUAAAUUCAUUUAAUUUAUUUUUUUUUUAUAAAAAUUAACUAAUUUAAAAUAUAUGUAAAUUUCUAAUUAAUUUAAUUACAUUUUUUUUUUCAGUUUUUCAUAAUAAACCAAAUAUUAGAAAAUUAUUUUUAUUAAGACACCCAAGAUGAGGUAAUAUGCAAUGAAAACAUGAAUUAUAUUAAAAUUCAAAACAAAUUAAGAGAAAUCGGAAAAUAUACAUAGAUAUCUAAACAAAGAAAUUUAAAGAGAAGGAACCACAAACUUUAUUUACAUAAUUUGAAAAUAAAAAACAUAAAACAUACUUAUAGUAAGGAGAAAUUGAAUAUCUUACAAUGGAAGAAGGGAGAAAAGCUUUGAAGAAAGCUUUUGCUUGGAAGCUUACAUGGUGAGAGGUAGAGAAAGGAGAGAGAGAGAAGAAAAUGAAAAAUGAGAAGUGGAGAAAAUUGGAAGUUUUGUGUGCUUACAACUGAGGAUAGAGCCUCCUUAAAUAGCAAAAAAUGGAAUAUUAAAUAGUACCAAUCAGGAGACAAAAUAUUGUUUGCUUUUGAAACCCGUGCAUGAAUAGUAAUCCCGUGAGUGAAUAGUGAAUAAUAAAAGUGAAUAGUAAAAGUCACUUUCUACUAUAGCACUUUAGACUUUUUCAUCGAGAAUCUUACUUUCGGCUGAGUGAUGAUAGCUGAUAGGUUGCUUUGGAUUGUGGAGUCAUAUGUUUGAUGUUUUCGGUGCUGAAACCGCUUAGUUGGAGAAUAAUCUCGUCAGUAGAGCAUCAUGAGAAGCUUGAAUGGAGAGAGCUUAAUGAUGCCAUAUGAUUGGAAGGAAUCCUAUUUUAAUUUCCUUAUUGGAGGGAGAAUACCCUCACAAUCAUCUUCAUUAUCUUGAAGGUAGUUUGAUAUAGAGUCAUCUGACUCAGCAUAAGAGUCCUCUUGGGAGAAGCUUGAACUGCUUUUGUCAAGGAUUUUCUGAAAUUCUUGAGGGGUUUUUGCUAUUGCUAACAUGGUUUGGAGUUGCUGUUUCUUAAGAAGAAACUGUGCAAUAUCAUAAGAUGAUGAAGCUUGUGUAGGAUGCUUUAGGAAAUAUUGCUUUAUUGCUUGUAGUGAGGUAUCAUUUUUCAAGGCAUCCCACCACUUAGACUUGAAAGUCCUUCCAAGGGUUGGAAAGGCUGCUGAUUCAUCUGCUAUAAUGAUAUAAUCCCACUGGACUAUCCAGGCAAGGCCAAAUUCACUAAAAAAGAAUAAUAAUUGGGGAAAACUGAAAGUUCUCUAGGGAUAACAAAAGAACUUUGGAAUAGCUCAAAGCCAUCCAAAAUGGGUUUUGGGAGAAUUUUAAUAGUUGGACCAAAAUAUGUCCACCAAUUGUGGAACCAAAAUGGAAAAGAGGGGAGUUGAUGCUUAGAUGGGAAAUAGAACAUCCCUGAAUGAUGGAAGUCCUUGUUCUGGAUCAGAAAAGCAUUGAACCAUACUCUUUGGUAGUCUCAAUAAUUGAAAAUUUUAGGUUUUGAAGGCUUAGAAAAUUCUCUUGAAAAAUUAGGAUUCCCACCCCACUGCUUAACUGUAAGGAUUUUAUAAAUAUGGUAAGUGGAGAAUGCCAAAUCCAAAUUGCUGAAUUUAUCAGCAUUGUGCUUGAUUUUAACAGAGCCGGUUUCCAUAAGGAUUGCUUCAUAAAAUUCUCUUGUUUUUAAAAGAUCACCAAAGGGAUAAUGAAAAUUUUCAUGAAAAGCUUUUGCUGCAAUAUCUCUAGGGUUUUUAGAGAAAAACUCUUUUUCAAUAACCAAAAGAGGUUGAUUUAAAUCUUUUUGCCAAUAUCUUGCUUUUGCUGAAAGAGGUGUGGGGUUGGCUACCACCACAAUUUGCUUAUUUGAAAAAGAAGAGCUUGAUGCUAAUUCAUUUUGAGAGGGAUUAGCUUUAGUAACCUGCUUAAAGGUCUGAGACACAGUAAUAGUUGGAUACUGAGUAGCCUUGACUGGUUUAGAAGGAUUCGAAGGAUCAUAGUACAAGGACAAAAUCUUAUUAGGCAUAUGGUCAGAAGAAUGAAGCCUUGCUUCUUCUUCUAGCUCAACUUGUUGGCUCCAAAGUAUUUUAUGGGGAGAAGGUUCUUUGCUGGUUUUAGAAGACUAGGAUUCUGGAAGUUUAGGAGCUUGGGUAUUCUUUUUAGGGGCCAUGGUUUCGUGAAUCCUGUAAAAUUCACAAGUUAAGAAAUCAGGGCUCGAAGAAUGUUCUCCUUUAAUAUACUCAAUUUGUAAAUUAAAAUUGCUUAAAAUAGCUUGAUAUAUAGCAAAAAUAUGCUUAGAAGUUAUAUUCUUAACAUCCUUUUGUAAAACUAAUUUUGCAAAUUUACAAUCAACUCUUAAUAAAAACUUUUGAUUCAAAAGAUCAUCUUGAAAUUUUGAAAUGCAUAAAACAACGCUUAAAGUCUCUUUUUUAAUGAUGUUAUGAAUGAGUUGGGUAGUAUUCCAGGUUCUUGAAGUAUACCUAACUAACAUCUCAAGGUUACCAACACUUUGCUUAAGAAUCCCACCAUAACCUAUGUCUGAGGUAUCGAUCCCAACAAACUCAAAGGUUUCUGGAUUGAUAGAGCCUAAACAUGGUAGGGUCUUGACUUUGGACUUAACAUCAAUAAUGAAAACAAUGGUGAAAACAGAAAACUGGUUAAAGUUUUCAUCCAUUAUAUUCUGGAAUUCUGAGGUGCAUUCUUAAGAUCAAAGGGCAUUAUGAACCAUUCAUAAUGUCCAAGAGAUACCACAAAGGUGGUCUUAUUUGGAAUAGGACACCUAAUCCAACUUAAUGUAUCAUUAAGAGGCAUGUAGUUGACGACUAGUCUAGGUGUUCCUUUUUCUGAUUCAACUUGUUCCUGAACAUAGAAGGUUGAACAACUCCAAAGGGACUUAGACUUCCUUAUCAACUUUUUAUCAAGAAGAUCCCAAAUCUCCUUAUCACAAUAGCUUAACAAACCCUUGUUCAUCUGGAUAGGUCUUGAUUUAGUGGGAAUAUUCUUGUCACUAAAGUCUAGUUCAUAAGGUAAUUCUACCUCAUGUUGUUUCCUAUGCCAAAAUGCAUUAGGAAUGUUAGAGCAAACUUCUUCAACAAUCAGAUUAAUUUCUUGCUCAUGACUUUCCUUAGCUUGAAUCACCUGAUCCCUUAAGGUGUUUAUAUUUUUCUUAUUAGGUGGUUGGCAAAUUCAAAAAUAAUUUCCUUAUCUAAGAGCUUUGUUCUUAUACUUUGGUCAUCUACCCACAUGGGAUAGAUGGAGCUUAAAAAGGGGAUUCCAAGGAGAGCUUUCUCCUUAAGAUCCUUAACUAGAAUGAAGGUUUGCUUGAUGCAAAUGCCUUGGUUAUUUAUGUGAGCAUCUGACAGCUUAUACUCAAUGUCAAGCCUUUUACCAUUAGCUCCAAAGAGAGAUUCUUUGGUUUUCUUACAAAACUUAAUAGGACCUAGACCUUCUUGUAGGCAAUUCAAAGCUGUUCCUGAAUCAAUCAAAGCAACAAUAUCAAUGACAAAUUUACUCUUAAUUACUAUAGUAAGGGAGACUUUCCACCUCUGGAAAAUAACCCUACUAACAGUAUUUAAGUAUCCAUCCGUCUUUUCAUCAUUAGCAUGUGAAGAUUCUAGAACCUCUUCAAGGUUUUCCUAGUUAUCAACAAGAUUUUCUAUAACAAUCCUAUUUAUUUGUUCUUGGAGAUCUGAAAAACCUAAGCUUGUGUAUUGUCUUAAAUCUUUAAUUUCCUUCUUAUACUGUCUUACUUCUUCUUGAAGAUCCUUAAUGGUUACGUCUUUGGUAGACUACUGGUUAAAUCUUCCUAAGAUUUCAUUUAAGUUAUAAGAAUUUACUGUCUUCUUAAUCUCUUGCUUAUCGACAAAUUUCUUAAAAACUUCAUAAAGAUCUUGUUUAGUUUUUUCAUCUUCAACUUUCCUUAAAACAUCUAGGACAAGUUCUUGAUCUUGGCUUAUGACAUUUAUAGUCUUAGGUUGGCAAUCACAAUUAUCCUUAAUGUAUUCUUCUUGGUCACUAGAAGUUUGGCUUGAGAUUUCCUCACCACUACUAUCUAGUUGGUUAAUACCAUUUUCAUUAUCUGAAUCAAUCCUUGAUUCAGACUCUGUGGAAUUUAACAUUACUUUACAAAGCAUAUCUUUUAAGUCUUCUGUGACAUUUAAGUUAUUAAUUUUCUGCUUAACCCUACAAUCUUUCUUAUAGUGGCCUAUCUUACCACACUUAAAACAAACUGGCUUAGAUUGUGAAGGAGCUUCUAGCUUUUUAUGGGCUUCUUUGUUCAUCAUUCUUUGGAUGUGCCUUUGUUUCUUAGUUUCAUUCAUCCUAUAGUUGCCAUGAGUUCCUCUCUUGUUGUGAUAGGACUUUUCCUUACUAGGCUUUGUACUUACUUGUUUCUUACGUUGCUUAGAGGGGGGCUUAGUUUCUUUUUGGUUGAAUCCAAACUAGCUACAAAAUGAACCAAACUCAUUCUUGUAGAUCCUUUGUUCAUUUUUCAUCUGUUGCUUAAGCUUAAAGUCAUUGCACAGUUUAAUUGCUUCUGAUGUGACAAUGCUUAUAAUUUCUCCAUAAGAAAGCUUAUCAUAAGGGAUUUGUCCAUUAAACUGUUCCCUUAUCUUAAUCCUAAUCCUCUCAGAGAAAAGUCUAGGUAGUCCUAAGAUGAAUUUUUCUUUCCAAAAAGACUGGUUAUAGUUUGAUCUUAGUAUGACUUUGGUUAGGAAAACUUCUCUAUACCAUCUAAAGUCAUGAAGCUUGGGACACUUAAGGUUGGUUAAGAGAUCUACAAUCUUAUCCUUAAUCUUUGCAGGAUCUCCAAUGAAGUGCUUUGAAAUUGAAUAGAUUAGAGUAGCCACUACAUCCUCUAUAUCUUGUCCAUCUUCAUCCUUAACCACUUCAUUUUCCUCAUUAAUCCUAUAGGCUUUUAGGAUACCAUUUCUAUCCUCAAAGGUGAGAUAAUUAUCCCACCAACCCUAAAGUUGACCUGUAAACCCAACAACAAUUGUUUGAGCUACAGCAUGGCCUGACAAUCUAUUGUUUAACUUAUAGGUUGUACUAACCAUGGUCAUUUCUUGAAGCUUAGUGAGUAUGUUGUACUCAAUCAUACCAUCUAUGUUCCAUUCAUAGAUAGUGUCACUAGUGUAGGAAGCUUGAGUAUGCUGGUUUCUUUCCUCAUACUACAUAUCAGGAAAAGUUGGUCUAGGGUAGUAAUUCCUAGUUCUUGGUUGUUGAUAAUCCUCAUAACUGUUUGGUUAGGAGGUUCCUUAAAAAUCUUAAUUAGUUCAUCAGCCUCUGCUUCAGAACUAAUUUCUCCUUUAACCAUAUUGAUUCUCUUGUGAGAUGGUUGAGGUGUCUCAGAGACAACAAGGCUAUCCUUAACCUUUUGGCUUAUCCUAUCAAUGAGGGCUUGAUCAAUAUGGAGAUUCUCUAGGAAUUUCUUAGAGAAUUCAAAAGGCUUAAAUAAAGACUUAUUAUCUUUCUUAACAAACGUAGUCUUAAUGUAGUCUUGUGUUUCAAUGAUAUCCUCAAACUUGUUGAGUUGAUCGCCUGUAGUCUUAAGAAACAUGUUAGUGUAGUUGUUUUGUUCCAUGAUUCUUCUAACGUCAACAACACUAUCAAUUCCUUUAUUCUUUGGCCUAGUCUUAAAAGGUGAAGCUUUGACUAUGGUUCAAUUAAUGUUCUUUUAUAUCUUAGCUUCUAGAGGGUGGAUGGAUUCUAUGAUAGUAUCGUCACUAGUUUUCCAUAUCUUAGUUUUUUUGGAUGUGUCAUUGACACGCUUACUAGGGUAAUCUAGAUAUUCCUCUUGUUUGAAGAGUUCAAACCAGAUCCAAUACUUAAUGUUCUUCUUUUCUUGUCUUAAGUAUGUGUAGAAUUCUUCUUGGUAGAGGGUUCUAAUGUCUUUAAGGACCUUGCUAAAGAACCAAACUCUCCUUUUCUUAUUGACUUCAGAAUAGAAGUCUUUCCUUAAGAGGUCCUUGUUGAUUCAAAGUCUUCGUUAAUUAGGCUUACAGUGUUAAUCAACUGAGAAUAAGUAGGAGACAUAUCAGGAGAUUCGUCCUGAUGUGAUUCUUGAGUAAACUCAUUUUCCUCCAUGUAAAAGGGUUUGGCCACGUUGGUGUGACUUCUAACACCUGUUAGCUUAAUAUUCUUAGGAUUUGCUGAACUAGAUCCUUCCUCUAUCCUAGUGGUUCUUAUUGGGAUAGAUGAACUUGAAGCUCUAGAGGGCUCAUAAUAUGAAAUUCUAAGGCUGCUAGAAUGAUGAAAAGAGUUGGAGAAAAUUAGAUCUCGUUCUCCAUCAGGAUAUUGAACAAUCUGUUCAAUUCUUUCAGAUCUUUGCUCUAUGGCUGGGACAACAUUAGCAAAAUGCCAAUUUUCUGGAAACUCAACCUCAUUCCACUUGAUUUUCAUGGGGACUAUGAAAUUAGACUUGUUUAUCAUAUCUAAGUGGAAGAUAGUGGUUUCACCCUUGGGACUGGUGCACAAUGCUCCAAAUCCAACGCUUAUGGUCAUGCUCUUAUAGGCAAAUCUGGUGAUGAUGGAAACAUGAUUGUUUCCUUGCUUGAACUUAAAGUCAUGGGUCUUAACAUGAAGGACAACUGAAUCUAAGAUGUUGACAUCUCUUAGUCUAACUGUGAAGUUAGGGAAACACUGGAAAUAAACAGGACCAUCAUUUAAUCCUGCUUGGGUAGCUCCAAUAAUAGAAUCUCGGUAAUCAAGAUGUCUAUUAUCUCUUAAACACAUGACAAUAAAGGUGUUUAGACCUAGUCUUGUCAAGGGCUUAGCUGCAACUUGAAUCAUGCCAAAGUGUAUGAAGUUGUAGUCUCGCUUAUGCUUAUCAAUGGACUUACUAUCCAAGAGUCUUAUGACUUGAUCGUCGUGUUCUAAACUUACUGACAUUUCAGGGGUUUUAAUGGUGUAAUCUGUAAAGAACUUAAAGGUUCCUUUCUUAUAAAUUUCUUGAUUAGGUACCUUGGGUAACUUCCAAUCAUCUAAAUCAUCUUGGAUCUUAGGAUAAUUGAUCUCUUCAUUGUUUACUCUUGAGAAUUUGUGGAUUUCCUAGACAUGGUUCUGAAAAUCAAACUCAUUUUAAGGUUUUAAUCUAGAGCCUAAUAGCAGAUUAACAGACCUAGUGAGUAAUCACCCCAACCCUUUUCCAACCUUAACAAACGCCUAUCUCCAGCUAACAAUGGGCUCAACUCGGCAAGGAUCGCACUCAGGCACACUACUAUCUUUCCUAGGAUAGAUCAAAACACCCAAAACAAACCCGACUUCCUUUUCCUAGGAUAUAUAUAGUAUUUUGGGUUUGAGUAGGAGUUCAUGUUUUGUAUGUAAUUGUAGUCUACGUUGGACUAGGUUGUUUGCUCCUAAUUGAAAUAGGAAUGGUUGGUGUCACAUCUCAUUCAUUUUCUCAUCUAUUUCCAUGUUUAGAUAACUCAAGUAAUCAUAGGAAUGAAAUUAAGAAUGAUUUGAGGGAAAUGAAAUCUCACUUGUAAGUGGGAUCUCAAUUCAUCAUUAAUAGAAGGUAUUUUGAUUACAUAGUGCAAGUUAUUUUUAAAAACACUUUUCAAAAAUUGAAAAACCAAAAACUCUCUUGGAUAAGUUGUUUUUAAAAAGAAUUUUUGUAUUUUUAUUUUGUAAAAAAAAAAAAUAGUAAUUCAAUUUAUAUAAUAUAAAUAGACUUUAAUUUUAUUAAAAAUAAAAAUAAUUUUUUAAUUACAAAUAAAUUAAAAAAUAAAUAUUUGUAAUAAAAUAUGAAUAGUAAUAUUAUAAUAAAAUCAUAAAUAAAUUAAAAAUAUUUUUAAAAACAAAUAAGUUUAAUUUUUUUGAGGUACAAAUGAGCCAAAUUUUUCAUUAGGUACACAACCAACAAUUUUUAUUGGAAACAUUCCUCAAAAAAGAAUUCGUUUCCCAUAUAGCAAAGAUAUUUAUUAUUUAGUAUCUAACCAUCCGUAGUAAUCAUAUCAAUUCUACUAAGUUAUUUAAUAAUUCAUUUAUAUAUAGUACUCAAUUAUGAAUUUUUUUAUUUGAUGUAUAAUUAAUUAAUCAAUGUUUUGAAUUUUGAAUUAUUCUUAAAAUUUAAAACAUUAAUUAUGUCUAUUACUUUUUAUAGUCAUUAUAUAUAUAUAUAUAUAUAUAUAUAGAGAGAGAGAGAGAGAGAGAGAGAGAGAGCUUAAAUUUAUCUUUAAAAAUUAUUAAAUUUAUUAAUAAAUUCAAUACAAAGACUCAUUUGAUUUGAAAUUCAUUUCUUUAGUGAAAAUUUUGAAACUAAAUAGUACUUUGUUUUACUUUGUUUUUAAAUCAUACUCACAAAUAAGUUUUUAUCAUUUAGCCAAAAAAUCUCAAAGAUGUUUCUAAUUUUAUUUAUUUAUUUAUUUGUAAAUGAAAAUAAAAAAUUAGUUUAAACUAAAUAUGCGGAUAUUAUUGUUAAUUUAUUUCAUUUUUUAUUUCCAUUGUUAUUUAACAUUGAAACGGAAACAAAUAAUCAUUCCAAUCUUACAUUCUUAUAUGCAUCUAAACACAAGAAUUGAAAUCACCAAAUUCAUAUUCAAGGCAAAAUAGAAAUGGAAAAAAAAUAUUCAUUUUCAUUCCUCAUUCUCAUGUGCUAAACAUGACAUUAGUUCUACUACCUAUUUCACCAUUCUUCUUGAUAAAUUUGGUAUAUGCAAUAUUGAUCUAAGUGUGAGGUGAAUAAGAAUGAUGAUGGGAUGGGCUUGGAAAUAAGGGCAAAGUUUCUAGGUGCUAUCUAGAGGGGCAACGCGACUUUUUCAAAUUUCGAAUAUUUGUUCUCAACAUAAAGCAAAACUUUACUCACACAAUAGAUAAGACUCUGUUUGUUUUCUUCAUCCACGACUAUAUAAUGUAUAGCUCUUACUCAAGGGAUGAGCUACUUACUAUUAAGGAUUGGGUAAGAUAUUGCCUAAUGGCCAAGAAGGCAUGUCAAAAAAUAAAUCUAAUCACCAUAAAAAAUAAUAGGGGAAAAUUAAUAUAUUAUGAAUGAUGACUUUACUAUUUCUCUAUAUACAUAAUUAUAUAUUUUGAAUUUUCUCACUAGGUAAUGAGAUUCUAAAUCAACUGAAACAUAAUUAAUAAUUUAUAUUUUUAAUGAAUCUUUUAAUUUUUAAAAAUAAUUUAAAAUUUUAAAAAACAAUUCAAUUAAUUACAUAUUAAAUCAAAACAUUUCAAAAUAUUGUGUUUGUAGAUGAGUACUAAAUGCUUGCAUAUAAUAAUAAUAAUAAAAAAAUUGACUCAUUUAGAUGUUAAAAAAGUUAAAUGUUUUUCAUUAUUCAUUUUAAGUAAAAUAUUAUUGACAUUAUUAUUAUAAAAUUAUUAUUAUUCAUUUUUAACAAAAAACAAAAUAAGUUAUUCUUUUACCAAGAUGUCAAUAUCUAUAUUUUUCUAACAUAUAUUAAAAUAGUAUACUUUUCUUUUAUUAAAAAUAAUAAUUAUUAUUAUAUUAUUAUUCAAGUUUUAUUAAAAAAAUUUAUCUUUUAAUUCAUUUGUAAUUACAAAAUAAUUUUAUUUUAUUAAGAAUUUAAUUUAAUUACGCUUUUUUUUUUUAUAAAAAAAACAGUUAUGCUUUUACCAAGAUGUUAAUAUUCAUAUUUUUCUAGCUAACAUAAAUAGAAUAGUACACUUUUUCAUAUAAAAAAAUAAUUUAUGAUUUUAUUAUAAUGUUACUAUUCACAUUUUACUAAAAAUAUUUAUUUAUUUUAUUUAUUUUUAAUUAUAAAAUAAUUUUAUUUUCAAGAAUUUAAUUUUAAAAAAAUAGAAAUCAUUUAUUCUUUUACCAAGAUGUUAAUAAACAUAUUUUUCUAACAUAUACUAAAAUAAAAAAGUUUACUUGUUCAUUAAAAAAUAUAAUUUAUGUUUUUAUUAUAAUACUACUAUCUAUGUUCUACUAAAAAUAUUUAUUUAUAAUUAAAAAAUAAUUUCAUUUUUAAUAAGACUUGAACUAAAUUAAAUUUAUAAUUUUUUUUUAAAAUAAAAUAGAAAAUUAUUUUUUAAAAACAACUUAUUGAAAGAAAUUUUUUAUUCUUUACUUUUAAGAACUGUUUUUAAAAGCAACCUAUAAACCCCUUUGGGUCUGUUUGGCUAUGUUUCAUGCAACUUGUUUUUAAAAAUUGUUUUUUAUUCUUUAAUUUAAUUUUUUUUAAGUUAAAGAAUAAAAAACAACUUUCUAGUGUUUUAUAAAAAUGAGAGCUUUUGACAAGUUGUUUUUAAAAACCAUUUUUAAAAAUAAAAAAUAAAAAACUUAUUUAGAUAAAUUGUUAUAUAUAUAUAUAUAUAUAUAUUUGUAAAAACAUUUUAAAUUCAAUUUAUAUAAUAUAAAUUUAAUUUAAUUUAAGUCUUAUUAAAAAAAAAUUGUUUGGAUAAGUUUUUUUUUUUAAAUAGUUUAUUAUUUUUGUUUUGUAAAAACAUUGCAAAUUCAAUUUAUAUAAUAUAAAUUAAUUUAAUUCAAGUCUUAUUAAAACCAAAAUAAUUUUAUAAUUACAAAUAAAUUUAAAAAUAAUUUUUUUAGUAAAACAUGAAUAAUAAAAUUAUAAAUUAUAUUAUUGUGGACCCUGCAUUUAUGCUCAUGCGCUUCCACUUGUUGGCGAACUCAUUUUUUAUUUGAAAAUGAUUUAUUUUUUUAGAAAAUGACUUAGAGUCGCCACUUAUUUUUGUUUUAUUUUUAAAGGGCAAGCAAAAUAAGAAAGAAAACCCUAAGUGUGACUCCUUAUUCGAAAAAGGUAGUCUGUGUAAAACCGGAUCAGGGUUCAGGGAUCAGGUUACUUAUUGGGAAGGUAUGACAAUGACCGUAGCACUCCUCUAAGUCCUUAAAAACGGGCCUCUACUAAAAAAAAUAAAGUAAUCAUGGCAAUCAGUAAGGAAAUCACUGGAUACCCAGAACAAUUAUGCACAUGUGAGAAUUAAAACAUGCAUAAGAAUGGACAAAGUGAGAGUGGGUGCGUACCUUGACAACGAACCACAAUGCGUUAUCAAGAAAUGGGGUUAGUGCACGAUCAAUGAACAUAAAACACGUCACACAUGUCACUAAGCAGAGUGAGAAAUCAUCAGAUAUUACAAUUCAAUCAAAUUUAUUUUUAGAAGAAACAUCUGUUGAUGUAGAGCCCCUACCAAAGCCUAAUUUAUUUUUGCAUGAAUCAAUUUCAUAAAUUCAAUCGCUUGGAAUUACAGAAUUAAAUUCAUGCUUAUUUUAAAACAUCUUUUUAAAAUCAUGGAAGAUGUGAAAAUGGUUUUCCAAAGAGAAAAUGACAACUGAUUUUAUUGAAAAUGGGAUUUUGGGGACCUAAACGUUAAAGAGGGAUUAGGAAUUGAAAAUUAAAUCAUUUGAAAAUUGAAUUUUUCAAAAAUCAGUUUUGAAAGCAUGCAUGCAAGUAUGGACUGUGAAAGUGGGCCUAGGGAGGGUGGCCAUGCAAAAUGAGGUCAUACACGUGGGCCUUGGGUACAAUUGGGACUACUUUGCUGGUGCCAGUGGUGCUUGCAGCUGUCAUCCAUGAUUUCUUCAUUGGGAUCAAUUUCCAUUCUUACUGCCAAACAUUCCAUAACAAUUGACCAAACUAGUAACCCUGACCUUGCAUGAAAAUGAACGUUACCUAGAAACUCACUGCCAGUGAGAUUCAUUGCUCUUUCAAAAGGUCUCAUUUUCUUUCUCAUCCAAUUGCUUUAAGGAGCAUUCUAGCGUCACGAUUGGUGACUGCGCAUCAUCUAGAGCCUUCUUUCUUCUCAGAAUCAGGUUUGCGUGCAGAGGCCUGUGCUUGUUCAAGGUUGACCUAAAUUCAUCUAGGUUUAGAACCGACCAGUUGAGCUUGGGGAGCAACGACAAGAAUAUCAGUCACUUGCGAAGAGAAAACUCGAGAUCUUUCAAGUAAUGCCUGACAUAGAUUCCUCCAACCUGUGGCCAAUAUCUCAUUCCUUGUUGGCCAGACGCCUAUUAGGGCGUAUCUCAAUCAAUAAUAUGAUUUUUCGUUUGUUCACAAUAAAGACCGGAAGCCAUGGUUGUGAUUUAUGCAGUACAGAAGAAGUUGCCAUGGCUGGUAUCCUUACAAAUUCUGGUGUUUCUGCUAUCUGUUCAAGUGCAAAACACAACAGCUUUAUCAAGUUUGUCCCUAACAACUGAUAUUGAGCCCUCUGGAGGAAACCUUGAUAAAUUCAUAAUCACUUUUGACUCAUGCAUGGGCUGCCCAUCAAAUUUUCCUAGCAACGAGACGACUGCUGUCAUCUACUGCAAAGAGAAUUUCUUCUCGCAAAGACAAGAGGAGUUUAAGAAUACACACUAUUCUGCCAUUUCAUUUCCUCUUUCUCCACAACCAACAUAAACCAUAGUGUCUACAUUAGAGUACUUAGAAAGAGCUUAACUGAUGACCGUUUUUCCACAACCAAAUGCCCCAGGUAUGGCACAAAUUUCACCGAAAACAGAAGGGAAAAGGGCAUCAAGAACACGCUGUCCUGUAAGUAGUGGGGUAUCAGGACUACUCUAGGGAAGUUAUUUCUGUCAUUUUGAAAAAGAAAAAUUAAAGAAUGUACACAUGCUUUCAAGUGGACUGGAGCAUUCUACAUAUCAGGUGGUCUGUAGCCACAUGUGCCACUUUGUGGAAGUUGGAACAGUCGAUCACUAGGCUAUUUAGUGUGGCCAAGCCACGUUAAUCAAGGACAAGUCUUCAUACUUAAAAGUCAAAUGGUGCCUUUAGUCUCAUUACACAUGGCUAUUUAAAGAUGAACUAAUCUUUAGUGUAAUGUGAUUAAGACAGUACUAACUGAUCAAUAUUUUUUCUAAUUUUGGAUGCAAAUGCUUGCUGGCUUCAUCAUUGGAUGGGAUAAAGGUGCAUUCAUGACUCUGAAUACUUGCAGUAAUACUUGCAGUAAUACUUCAUUCUCUUUUUUCUCGAUGAGACUUCUUGGCACAAUUUUGCUUCUCAGCAACCUACCUCUCCAUGGAAAAUGAGUUGCGAUUGAUGGUACUGGAUAUUUUCUAGGAAGCUAAAUAUAGAUAUAUAGCACUCAAUGUCAACGAUAUAUAUAGCAUUAACAGUAUAUGUCUCAAUGCUCAUCAGCUACAAGCAAGGGACAAACACUUACAAUGAAUAACUCACGUCAACAUUCCUAAACAGGACAUAGAAGUGACAGAUCUAUAUAUAGAACACUGCAUAUGAGUCACAAGAAAAGAUAAUACGGGUGCAUAGCAGCUCUUAUAUUACAUAUUACUCAUACCGUUCAAAUUCACUCAGUUGGGAUGGGUGGGAGAAGGAGGCCUCUGGGGUGGCUUGUGCGUGUGAGAAGUGGAAGAAAGUUGAAUGGAAUGAAACUGAAAAACAGGGUAGAAUAGAGGUUUCUUGAAUCUUCUGAAAUCUUUAUUUUUCUGAGAUUUAUUCUCUGUUUUUGUGAGUCGUGACUCUACAUAUAUACAUGUAUUUAAAGUUAGUUAUGCCUUAUAACUAAUUAUCUAACAGUACCAAAACUAAUCAUCUAGUUGCAUGUUUCUAAUUAAUGCUAUUUAGUUACAACUAUAUAUGGCUUAACAUCCUCUCUCAAACUCAAAAGUCUAGCUAGAACAGUGAGUUUGCUUCAUAGAUUGAGAAAUUGUUGAAUAGGUAAGGCUUUGGUAAGAGCAUUAGCAAUCUGGUCAUAAGAAGGAAUGUGUUGAACCACCAAAGUCUUAUUGAGCACCUUUUCCUGAACAAAAUGGCAAUCUAGUUCCACAUGCUUAACUCGAGAAUGAAAAUAGGAUUGGCAGCAAGAAAGGUGGCUGAAAGAUUGUCAUAGAACAAAACAAAAUAGGAGAAUAAGAAGAUGAGAUAGAAAACUCCUGAAGAAGAUGUUGAAUCCAUUGAAGUUCAAAAGCAACAUUUGCUAAGGCCCUAUACUCAGCUUCAUUGCUGGAACGAGACACAACUUUCUGCUUACUGGAGUUCCAGGAGACUAGAUUAGAGCUAAAAAAGAUGCAAUGACCACUUGUACUUCGACGAUCAUCAGGGCAACCAACCCAAUCAACAUCAGCAUAAGCAGUAAGUUGAAAAUCAGGAGAAGAAUAAAAGGAAAGACCAAAGGAAGUAGUGCCCUUAAGAUAAUGCAACAAUCGUUUAACAACUUGCCAAUGAAGAUCAGUUGGUUAUUGCAUGAAUUGGCAAAGUUUAUUGAUAGAGAAAGAGAUGUCAGGCCUUGUAAUGGUACAAUAUUGCAGGGCUUCAACAAUGUUGCGAUAUUGAGAAGGGUCAGCCAAGAGGGAACCUUUAGAGGCAGAUAAAGUGUGAGAGGUAGUCAUUGGUGUAUCAAUAGGUUUAAAAUAUGGAAGACCAGCACGAGUUAACAAGUCCUGAAUAUAUUUGGUUUGGGAAAGAUGAAGAGAAGAUCCUUGCCAACAUACUUCUACACCCAAGAAGUAAUUCAGAAUACCAAGGUCCUUGAGAGCAAACUGAAAGUGUAAAGACGAAACCAUUUGGUGGACUAGCACGGUAUUAAGACCACUAACAAUAAUGUCAUCAACAUAGAUGAGAAUAAUGAUCAUGUCAGUCCCUUUCCGAAGAGGAGCUUGCUUCAGACCCUACAAGGCUUUGCGAAGUUUACAGAAAAAACCGGGUUUAGAAUGAUCAACAAAGCCUGGAGGUUGAACCAUGUAAACCUCUUCUUCUAACUCACCAUUGAGAAAGGCAUUAUUAACAUCUAAUUGUUCCACUAACCAACCAUGAGAAAUAGCAAGAGAAAGAACAAUUCAUAUAGUAGUUGGUUUAACAACAAGGCAAAAGGUUUCAAAAUAAUCAAUACCAUAUGUUUGAUUAAAACCCUUUGCAACUAAGUAGGCUUUAAAACGAUCAAUUGAGCCAUUAGCUUUGAGUUUCAGCUUGUAUAUCCAUUUACAACUAAUAAUGCGUGUAUUAACAGGUUUAGGAACCAAUGUCCAUGUGGAAUUGGUGAGAAGAGCAUCAUACUCAGUCUUCAUAGCAGCUUGCCAAUUAGGAUGCAAUAUUGCUUCUUUGAAAGAGGAGGGUUCGACAACAGUAGUUUGGAUAGCAAGGCUAAAUAUUUUUUUGGGUUUAAAAAUACCAUUUUGGCUACGAGUAACAAUAGUUCGGUUUGGAAGUGAAAGAGGAUCAGUGGAGGAGGCUGGAACAAGGGAUUGUGGUAAAGUAGGAAAGGAAGGUGGAUGAGAUGGAACAAAAUCAGUAGGGACAAUAAUGGGAGAAGAAAAAUUAGGUGGAGAAUGAUGAGGAUUCCUUGAAGAUGGUGUAGGAAUAGAGAGAAUACCAGAAUCAAGAAGUGUUAAAGAAGAGUUGGAUGAUGAUACUGGUUGACAGGAUAAAGACUUUGUUAAAAAUGGAAAUCGAGUUUCAUCAAAUACAACAUGACGAGAAGCAUAUAUCCGAGAGGAAGCCAUAUCCAAACAGAGGAAUCCCUUGUGUUUAGCACUAUAACCCAAAAAACAGCAAACAACAAAUAUAUUUGCUAGCUUGUGAGAAGCAUAAGGGCGAAGAUAAGGAAAACACAAGCAUCCAAAACUUCAAAGAGAUGUAUAAUAAGGUAAACGAUUAUAAAGAACUCCAUAAGGAGAAUUUUGUGAAAGAACAGCAGAGGGAAGGCAAUUUAUGAGAAAAAUGGCAGUUUGAAAUGCAAAUGACCAAUAUUUGAGAGGGUAUACCAGCUUGUAUUAACAAAGAAAGACCAACUUCCACAACAUGACGAUUCUUUCUUUCAACUCUUCAAUUUUGCUAAGGAGUAUAAUGACAAGAGACUUGAUGAAGAAGACCAUUUGUAGCCAAAUAAUUCUGAAAAGCUGAAACUGAAACUCAUCAAAUUGAUUUUUAGUAUCAAAUUUUCUUCAGACUGAACACAUUGAUUUUUAGUAUCAAAUUUUCUUUCAACCAUGGCUUGAAAAUGUUGGAACAUAAGUAAAGCUUCAUCUUUAGUUUCCAAAAGGUACAACCAUGAGAAUAUGCUAAAAUCAUCAAUUAGCAAGAGGAAAUAUUGAGCAUUACCAUUGACAGAAACUAUAGGAGUUGCACCCCAAAGAUCAACAUGGAUGAGACCGAAUGGUUUUAUUGCUCUAGAAGUGGAUAUUUCAAAUGGAAAACGAUGGCUUUUAGCCAACUGACAAGACUCACAUACAGAGUUAUUAUUGUCAUGUUUCAAAGGUAUUUUAUAAAGAGAUAAGAUUUUGGAAACUACAUUAAUAGAGGGAUGACCAAGUCUAUUAUGCCAAAGCCUCAAAGAACCAACGGCUAAAGUACUACUAGUAGAGUAAAAUACUAGUGGAUGACCAACAACUCUUGGUGUAGCAAGAAGUUUAUAGAGACCCUUCUCAAUUUUUCCUUGAAGAAGAGCAAGUCUCGUUUCCUGAUCCUUUACCACAAAAUGAGAAGAACGAAAUUCAAUAAAGGUGCCAUUGUUUGAGUAAAAUCGUUGCACGCUAACUAAGUUGGUGGUAAUAGAAGGAACAUGUAAGACAUCAUUGAAAAACAAAGAACCACUUGAAGAGGCAAGAGAAAAUUUACCAAUAUUUGCAAUGGAUAAACCCUUACCAUCUCCAACAAUUACUUUGUCACCACUGGUAAAUGGAUUAUGGAUUGUUAAAUUGUUAAGAUCAGAUGUGAGAUGAUGGGUAGCCUUUGUAUCAAGAAACCAAUAAGUGUCUCCCAUUGUUGCAGAAGUUGUAGUCAUAGCCUCAGGAUUGUUAGAGGUGGAAUGUUUAGAAUCUUUUGGCUGAUAAUCAGAGUUAAACCGAUACCAGCAUUGUAAAGCGGUGUGUCCGAACUUACAACCGAGAGAAAUAAUCUUUACUUAUUCUCUAAAAACUGUUCUUUAUUCCACACAUUAUUUCUAAAAACUGUUUCUAGAUAACAAUGACAAAAUAGUAUUAGGAAUUUUUAAAAAUAAAAAUUGUUUUUAAAUUACAUGAUCUAUAUCAUUCACAUUUGACCAUUAUAGCUUUGUUCAGGAAAACACUUGAAAGUAACCUUAUCGUGAUAAGAGAUAUAAGUUGGCUGUAGUUUCAAACUGAAAACAGAGGAUGGCAAUAGAAAGCAAAGCAUUAGUUAUCUGCAAUCAGUGGUGAUCAUGCCCCAUGUCAAUUUCGGACCCAUAUCUUAAAACCGUAUAAUUUGCAUUUCAACAUUUCUGAUUUCUCAGAUGUUUCAUACUCCACAGAAGAACAUUGUUUGUGAAAGCAUGCAUUUAUGCUGGAUUUUGGAUGAUGUGGGAACUGGGGCAAGGAUCAUAUGGAAGAGUGGUCGAUUUUUUCUGUACUUUAACAUUUGAAAUAGGAGCAGCACGGGCAUUUGUGGGGCUUAAUUGAUUUUGAAGCCUGAAAUUGCGUUUCUGUCAUUUUGUAAAAAAUAUGGCAGAUUCCAUGCUCUCAUAUGUUUGGUCUGUGGCCAUGUAUAGAUGCCACUUAGUGACCAGUUUGUAACUGUCAAUCAUAGUGUUUUGACUCUGGCUCAACAACAUCAGCCAUUGACGGAUUUUCAUACAUGCAAAUCAAAUAGUCUUCUUCCUCCCUUAGGAAUUUCGGUUUAAAUGUUAUUAAGCAUACAUUUGGCUGACAAUUAUUAACCACUUCAUGAUAUGGUUUCUUACCCUUAAUCAAUGGUUUCUAAGUGAAUAUAUGCAGAAGGAAAUCUGAACUGUAGACAGCAGUAUUGAUAAUUAUCAAUAUUCUUUAUAUAAGAGAAUAAACAACGUCAUAGUGAUCGUCGCCUACAAGAAAGGUACAUUUCCCAACAAGAUGUAGUUGUGACUGGUACAUGGACGUAAUUAACUCGUAGAAAAGGAUAAGACCAGUGCACGGCAGCUCUUAUUUUACAUGCUAAUUAUGCUAACCAAAGUCACUCAGUUGGGAUGGGAGGGAGAUGGAGGUUUGUGCGGUGGCUUGUGGGGCGGAGUUGGUGGCUUCUUUUCAGGAGCUUGUGGCUUUUUCGGAGCUGAAGGAGGCUCAAUCUUAUGAGGCGGCUUGUACGAGUCUUCUUUACUCUCGACAGGAGGGUGGCCAGGGUUGUGACCAUAAUGUGGUGGCUUCUCUCCCUUAGGUGGCUUGCCAACUGGGGUUGGUGGCUUGUGUUCAGGAAGUGGUUUCUCUCCCUUGGGAGGUUUACCAAUUGGGGUUGGUGGCUUGUGUUCUGGGAGUGGUUUCUCUCCCUUGGGAGGUUUAGUGGGUGACUUGUGUUCUGGAGGUGGCUUCUCCACCGGAGGCUUGUGCUCCGGUGGUGGCUUCUUGGUUGGAGGGGGCUUGGGGUAAUCAGCAAG